rnacentral:lncRNA from 1 species
UUCGCAUUCAACAAAACCAGCUCCCGCUCAAAUCACACUCUCUCGGUCGUUCCCUUCACUCUCCAAAACCCCCCAUUCCAAACAAAACCCUCAUUUUUCCCUCUUAACAAAGUCACUUUCUCGAGAACCAAACAUUUCCUUAGAUCUCCAAUUUCAUAAUGAGAGAAGAAGAAAUAGAGAAACUUCGAGGAUUGGUUCGCGACUGUGUGAGUAAGCAUUUGUACUCGUCGGCCAUUUUCUUCGCCGAUAAAAUUGCCGCUUUGACCAAUGACCCUACUGGCCUGUACAUGCAGGCUCAGGCUCUGUUCCUUGGCCGCCACUACCGCCUUCCAUUUCACCUCCUUAACGCCUCAAAAAUUGUGCUCCGUGACCUCCGAUUUCGUUACUUGGCUGGUAAGUGUCAGGUAAAGUUCUGUUUUUUGAUUGCAUUAGAAAAUUUGAAUUUCAGAUUUUGGGAUUUGUGCUUUUUGCGUUUUUAGUUUUUUUUUUAUGUCAUGAAAAAGGGAAAUUUUGAAAAUUUUAACUUGAAAUUCGUUUUCUUUUUAUUUUAGAACAAAAGAAUUUCAAUGAAAAAUAUUUGGAAUUGAAUUGCUCUAGCAAAUUUGCAUGUGUUGUGUGUUUUAAGAAAAUGAAAACUAGAUUUUAAGCAAUUAAGGAGAAAUUAUCGACUUUGAGCUGAAUGAUUUUGAUCAAUUUUUCUUGAAUGUUUAUUUGUUUAUACAACUGGGUAGUUUUUCUUUUACUUAUUUAUUUCUGGUCUGUCCUUUGUAUAAUUAGGAGGAACUGAAGGAGUGGGACUAGUGUUUGUCGAUGCUCGGUGAUGCUAAGGUUGUUGAAGAUGGUAAUGUUUAUGACACAAAGGAUAUCAAUGUCAUGUAAUUAGAUAAAGAUGGGGAAGAUAGAGAAAUCAAUGCAAGUUUUUGUUUGUAAUCUCAUUUUAUCUGGCCUUUUAUUUUUUAAUUUGUUGCACAUUUGUUGUAUACUUGACCCAAUAUUUCUUUUUUCUAUUACAGAUCUCUUCAGCUAUAUGCUUUUUGAGAGGCAAAGCAUAUGAAGCCUUGGGAAAUUGUGCCCAAGCUCAGCUGUGGUUAGUCUCUUGCGAUGAAUUUACAUGAAAAUCACUCUGCUUAAUUGUAAAAUGCUUUAUGGUUAUUUUCCCUUAGUUUUUCAGUCAAAAUGAUACCAACUUAUACUGUCUAACGGUCUUCUGUUAUAGUAACUUAGGUGUAGUAAUUUAACGUACUGUUAAAGAAAGGAAAUGACUUUAUUGUUUUAAUGGGAGAAUUUUGAACAUUGUUAUAAACUUGUUUAAGUUGGGCAUAAGUAAAUUUAUCUUCAAUUUCAUUACUGAGCAGAUUUUGUUUGAAUGCAUGAAUGUUUGAUAUAUGUGUUUAAUAACCAAGGAGUUUGUUUAGAUACUGCUUUAAGAAUUAUCUAUAUAUAGAUUGGGUAGUCUAGAAAACUCUCCUUGAUUAAAUCAAUGUAUAAUUUUGAUAAGACAGUUUAAAAUGUUAACAUCCCAUGUCUUCUGGAGUCCAUUUGGUGACAGAGGAAUGGUAGUAUAUGCUGGGAUGGUUUAGUUCAAUAAGGCUAUUAGUUCUGUUCUGCUUUUUCAAAGAGGUUGAUUGCCAAAUUAACAGCCACAUGAAGGAGAAAGUCUUUUUUUUUUUUUUUUUUUUGUAUCCUGAAUUGUUUUUGCUUCCAACCACAAUUCUGGUCUUCUAUUGGUUCACACUUCCUACUUCUAUCUCGAUGAUUUUAUCUGCAAUACCUCAUUACUAAAUUCAGCUCUAACAACAGAGGAACUUAUUUGCUUCCUCUUUAUCUUGUUCCAUUACUAACUUUCAUGUGCAGCAUUUUUAGAAGGUUAAAGACUAAUAGUACAGAAAGGUGGUUUUAAAUCAAAUGUAACAAGAUUCAAUUGACAGAUCAGCUAUGCUUCAGUCCAUGUGGUUACCUACACACCUGGAUAUUUGUUUUAGAGUUUUAUGCUGUCUGAAUUAGUGGCCUCAUUUUGUUAUCUGAUUGAAAGCUUGCAUGUAUUUCAGUAAGUUAGGUUCUUCCCUCAACUCUUUUUCUUUAGUAACUAUUAUGGUAUUGUUUUAUAACCUUAAUUAGCUUCUCUUUGGUUUUUCAUUUGUCAGUAUAUCUGCUCUAUUCUGUUCAAUUCCUUUUUCUCUAUUCUCUCAGUUAUGUUGAACUAAAACGCUAUAGUUCAUACAAAGGCAUACUAUAUUUUUUCAUAAUGAUUUAAGGUACAAAGCAGCAAUUAUAGCUGAUCCUUUGUGCUAUGAGGUAUGCAUGACACGCUAUCAAUGUGUUUUUUUUCCUUUCCCCCUAGGGAUAAGCUGGUGGGGGGAGCGUCCCAUUCUCAAAAACUCCUUACCUUGAAUUUUGUGGCUGCAUAAAUUUCAGACAUGACUUUCUAUGCAAAAUAUUACAACCUGUGGAAACUGUUGCCUUCUCAAGGAUUAGAAAAUUACUCAAAAGAGGGCUAGAAUUUUUGAGCUAGGCUUGUCCCUUUUUUUUUUUGUAAAUAGAAUUUUAAUCCUUUUCUUUAAUUUGACCUCUGCUGAUCACAUAGAUGUCUCAUUUGGAUGUUCCUUAUAAGAUAUAUCGAUUCUCAUUCUUUAUGAUUUUUUUUAUGGCUGUACCUUGAUUUCUUUUUCAGGCUUUGGAAUGCCUUAUAGAAAAUCACAUGCUAACAUGCGAGCAAGGUAAUGAUGUAGUUUUUUCCUAGUCAUCUGUUUCUUUCAUCUGAGAGAAGUGGAUUAUGAAAAUGUUUACAGUUUGAAUUAUAGUUCUUACAUAAGUGCGCACGCGCACACACACACACACACAUAAAUGAAAUUAUAGUCACACACAAACAUGUUGAUAUAAAUUUAAUUUGGUAAAAAUUUCUUUGGCUGUGUUCAACUAGCAUUGGAUUUUUCAUGGAACAUGUUAUAAUAGGCUAAUACUUUAAAUUAUUGGAUUUGCUGUUGAAUUUCGGAAACAAGUUUACUUUCAUCAUUGGAAUUUGGUUUUGAAGAUGGAUGGCUUUCUUCAUUCUACUCAUGUUUGAUAAAAAAGGUGAACUCUGUGCAAAUUCAUAUGCUCUUCCAAAUGUAAACAUUUCAAUAAUAAGUUUCCCAUAUGUUUUCGUGAUGUUGAUUCUUUUUGCUGUGUUUGAGUGCAGUGAACAAUUUCUUUCCUUCUUUCCUGUCUCCCUUUGUUUUAUGCAGUACGACAAGGAGAAUGUUGUAGAAGCCAAAUUCAGAGAAAUUGAAAAAGAAAGAUGUGAUAGUGUCCAUUCGAGCCCAUCCUUCUCACACAUUCUGAAAAACAAUACUGAUCUUUUAGAGGCCUUAUUAUUCUGUCAACCUGCGAUACUAGAUUUCAGAAAUCUUCUCUUCACACAGUGUUCUUGGCUCUCUAAUUGUCAAAAAGUUGAAAAGCCUUUUUUCUGUCUGAUGCAUUAUAUAUAUGCAGUUUAAUAUUUGUGGACUUCAAUAAUAUUGAUUACCUUGAUUAUAAUAUUUUCAAUUGUAAGGUUUUUGGGUUUCUUCUUGGUAGGGAAGAUUUUUGUCUUUUUCUUUUUUUGGCUUGAUUCUUCUUCUUUAUUAUUAUUAUUGUUACUGUUUCCCAUUCACAAGGAAAAAAUUGGAACUUGCUCCACCUUGCAAAAGUUUUAGAGCGCAUUUAAUUCUCGCAUUAGGGAAUUAGAAUGGAGAAUGGAAAUGAUUGAUUGUGUUUAUUUACAUAAAAGAAUGACGAUCAAUUUUGGGUGGAGCCCACGAGUUUGGGAAUGAGGUAUUGGAAUUCCAUUGCCAUAAGAGAGGUGGGAAUGAAAAUAAGAAAAUUAACACUUUUAUCUUUAAAGAAAAUUAAAUAUUUAUUUUUUACCUUCUAUAAAUAAUAAUUAAUAACAAUAGUAGUUGUAGUAAUAAUUAUAAUAAAAAUAAUAAAAUUUAAUGAUAACAUUAGUAGUAGUAAUAAUAAUAAUAAAUAUUUCUUUUUUACCUUAUGUAAAUAAAUAACUAAUAGUAAUAAUAAUAAUAAAAUUUAAUGAUAACAAUAGUAGUAGUAUUAAUAAUAAUAAUAAUAAUAAUGAAAAUUAUAGUAUUAUGCCCAAUAUUAUAAUCAACAUGUAUAUAUUUAUUUAUUUAUUUUGUUAGUAAAAAAAUACAAUUUUAACUAAGGGCAUCGUGAUAACUUUCAAUAAUCCAUUUUGACUACGAAAUAAAAUAAAUGCAUAAAUGAAACUCAUUCGAUUCCUAUAUCUCAAGUAAAUAAUUUAUUAAUGGUUCUCAUUUCUUAUUCCAAUUCCAGAUUCCAUCCCAUUUCAAUUCUUGCUCAUUUUGAUUCAUGGAAAGUAAACGCACUGUUAAUUUGUCGCUCUUGUUAAAUAUAUCCUUUGUGGAUUUCAUAUGAGGUUUGAAAUGUUAUUUAGUAAAAUUUAAUUUCUUGUUGGCUUUAUUCACCACAGCAAGGCUACAAAUCUUGAUGGGACAUUCGCCCCCGCUUGGAUAGGUUAUGGAAAUGCUUUUGCUGCUCAAGAAGAGGGUGACCAAGCAAUGUUGGGUUAUCGCACUGCUGCUUGUUUGUUUCCAGGGUAAUUUUUAGCAUUAUUUAUUCAUUUCUGUACCUUCCUGAUUUUCUUUUCCUUGGAUCAGCAUAUUCAUGCAAUGAGGACAAGGACAAAGCCACUAACUUGCUUUUGAGCAAGUUUCAGAACACUUUUAGAAUUUCAUUUUUGGCUUUUUUUUAAACUUUUUUGGUCUCUGAAAGAUAUCUUAAGGGUAGGGUUUGGUUGAUUUUGCUCAUCUUGAUAUUAUUCAAUUCUUGUUCAAUUUGAAGAACAGUGUGCUUUGGGUGUAUAAUCAUGUGGGUGAAAAAAUUUUUUGGUCCCUCAAGUUUCUAUUAGGUUUCAUGUAAUCCAUGAAAUUUCUGUUGCUUCAGCUUAAUCUGUUUCAAGUGCGCUACCACUAAAACAAUUGGGUUUCAUGGGUUAUCAACCAAGAUUUUUUUUUCUCCUUUGAUUUAAUAUUAAUAAACUGUUUUACCAGUAUAAACUUUUGAUGAAUGCUUCGCAUUUGAUUUCCAUAUUUCUUCCUGAGAAAUGUUGUAAGUUGAUUAAACAUAGUCUUAAAUCGACCCAAGGCAUUGUUGUAAUGUCUUUCUAUUUUGAUAAUAAACCACACUGUCAUAGUAGUUUUAUGGUCGUAAAGAUCAAUGAAUUUCAUUGUUUAUUGUUUAGUGAUGGUAUGCAUUGUGUUGUGGGAGUACUCUUAUCAAUAUGAAUUGUCUUUUUACAGGUUGAAUCUUGAUGUUCUCUUAUUCCAGGUGCCAUUUACCAACUUUGUAUAUUGGAAUGGAGUACAUGCGAACUCACAGCUUUAAGCUUGCCGAACAGGUGUAUUACCUUCUUCUAAAUAUAGGCUGCCUUUCAUUUUUCUCUUUAGCUUUCAGUGAGAACUCUUAAAAGGUUGUUUGUUUGCAAUAUGAAGUCUGAUUGUUGGAUAUUCAGAUGUUGGUCUAUACGAUUUGCUAGUUGAUGUUGUCUUGGGGUUUCAUUUUCCUCUUUGGAUUUAAUGUGAAUACGACUUCUUUCCUCUUUGUUUAAUUGCGACAACUUCUAACAGAUGCUAAUCACAAUCUUUAUUCAUGAUUCUGAGGCGUCAUAUCGUCCAUUUUCCUUUGUUGUCAAAAUAAUGUCUUCUUUAUCCAAAUCUCUUAGUCAUAAUUCUUUGAAUAUAUUGUUGAAUUUCUGAUUAGCUGUCCUUUCUCCAGUUUUUCAUGCAGGCAAAGACCAUAUGCCCAUCAGAUCCACUUGUAUAUAAUGAACUUGGUGUUGUUGCUUACCACAUGAAGGAUGUUUGGUUCACUUGAGUUGCUGUUUUCUGUUGAUCCGUUUACCUUAUUAGUGUUUCAUUUUUAAUAAUAUUAUUACUUAAGUAUAUGAAAUUCUAGUUGAUUUAAACUUAGGUCUUGUUUGGUGUUGAGGUGUUGUAAAUUUUAAGCUACAGGUGUUGUGGAAAAAAGCUGCAACUAUUAAAUAAAAGUUAAUAGCUUGUAGUAAAUAUAAUUUUUAAAUAAUAAUUUUUACAAAAUUAGUAAAGAUAUAAUAAAGUUUUCAUCAUAUAAGCGUAAAAUCAAAUCAAGUUAACUUUCAAGCUACAACAGCUGGUGUUUACCAAAUACUUUAGUGCUUUAGUUCUUAAGCUAUAGUUGUCCAACUCAAUCCCAAAUGGUGCCUUUCAGGAAUUGUGCUCUUUUUAUUGUUAUAUGUUAUGGCUUUUGUAUGAGUUCCCAAUCACCAGUUUGACCAGCAAUUAUUUGAAAUGUGUGGUGGUUUGAAAAGACCUUGGCGCACAUUCCGUCCUCUUUAAGUGAAAUGUGGGAACCAACUGUGGUGAAUCUUGCACAUGCUUACAGAAAGUUAAAGUAUGUGUAAAUUUAUUGGAAUAGGCUGUCUCACUUGCAUUUUCUUGUUCUAUUGCCUACUCAAGAUAUUUAUCCUUUAUUUUAUUGUGUUUUUGUUGAAUUUUACAUGAAAUAUCAUUCAGAUAUCUAGAUUUGUUUUUUUUUUUUUUGGCUAAAUUUUCAAACAGAGGAUCAUCUUUAUCUUGAUAAAUGCAUUUUAUUUUAGGGAUUCCAGCAUAGGGUAAUAAUGUAAGAUUUUUCAGUUUGCAUCGUCUGAGAUUGUGAGCAGCAUGAAGAUAUAAGAAAGAAGUAUAACCUUCCUUAUACCGUCAUGGCUGCUUAUGAUCAGCUUUGCCCAGUAAGCUCAAGAGACUACUAGGAGCCGUAGAAGUUGUCUGUAGCACUUCCUAAAAGGACUUGAUGCAAAUAGUUUAAAUAAGGAUAUGCCGGAUUAUGGAUUGGUCUUCUCUCUACUGGCUACUUCAUAACCCGUUUAUAUAUUUUUCUCUUUAUGGAAUAGUACUUUUUUUUUUUCAUGUUUUUGCUUUUUUCCUUCUUAUUAGGCAGUGGAUUUAGGUUUAUUUCUAGUAUUGCUAAUCUAUAAACAUACAUUUGACUUAUUGUUUAUUGAACCUGAUUCUAGAAUCUAUCAUGUUUCAGGAUAUAUCACGAGGCAAUAUCCUGUUACGAGCGAGCGCUGACGUUGUUGAAUAGAAGUUUGAGCACCUAUGCAGGUCUUGCUUACACUUACCAUUUGCAGGUAUGGUGGAUUUAUUAUUAAUUCAUUUUUCAAUGAAAACUUGUGCGCCUAUGAAUAUUCUGCUGAUGUGAGGAGUAGUUAGCAAAUUGAUCUAAGUGGUAUUUGUUAGCAAAUACUAGUUUAUUGGAUGCAUCUAAUAUUUGCAGCUUAGGGUUUAAAAAACUAUUGUCAGAUCUUCGCCGUUGCAUUCAAAAAACUGCUAGUCUAUGGUGAUGAAUUUGUUUCUUUUAGGUCUCUUGUGCAGGAUAACUUUUCUGCUGCCAUUACAUAUAUCACAAGGUAAACUAGAAAGUACUCUUGCUGUUUCCUUUAUGCGCAAUAAGCUUACUGUCUAUCGCAGUCAUCUACUGUUGAAGGGACAACUCUAAUCUCGCUGCAUUAUAUGGAUCAUUGAUUUGCUUUUUCAUUCUUAUCUGCAAAUCAGGCACUGUGGCUGAAGCCAGAUGAUCAGUUUUGUACCGAAAUGUUAAGUUUGGCUCUUGUUGAUGAAGGUUGCCAUUGCAUUGACCCCAAAAUCGAAUUUCAGUGAUAAUAUUCUUUCCCCCCCCCCCCCCCCCCCCCCCCCCCCCCCCCCCCCCCCCCCCCGCGUUGUAAUGUAUAUGUAAUUUGUUAUUCAUGCCUAUAACAGUUUGAUAAUUUUGGUUUCUGAUUCACCCAUAGUAUUGGCGAAGGGCUUUUAAUUAUUGUAUAAGCAUAGGGGCUUCAUCUUCAUCUAUAUUCUACCUUUGACACUAUUAAUUUAGUUCCUUAUUUGUUCAAAUCUACUUGGCUUAGAAGUGAUUUAAAUUGCUUUCUUUCAUGGAACCAUUUUAUUUUAAGAAGAGAUAUCAUCAUUUGAUGAUCACUUUAUCAUCAAAAUUUUCUAAUAAUUAUAUUUUUUUCCACAGUUUUUAUUAUUUAUCACUAAACAGUUAAGUCCAUUAAGAAAUUAAUGAUGCCACAUGGAUAUUUCAAUAAUUUUAGUUUAUUAAGGUAGAAGUAUUAUAAUAUUUACAAUUUUAUCAAUUGAUAAAAGUAUUAUCACUUUGUGUAUGAUUAACUUUAUUUUUUAUUGAUUUAGAAGAUUAAACUUAUUUUCACAAUCUAGGGGUAAAAUAGAUUUUACGAAAAAAUUUGUUAUUUUUAGCAAGAAAAAUGAUAAAAGUUGGAAUAUUAAAGUGCAAAAAUGUAAUUAUUAAAAAAUUUUACUAAUAAAGUGAUAUAUUAGAAGAAGUUAGGUGAUAAAAGAUAAUAUCCCUCUUAGGAAUUAAUUAUAUUAGUUUACAAGCUUGUAAUCCUUUUGUUAAGCAGCAAAGAUAAAUAUCUUUUAUUGAGUAUUUUUGUUUCCUAUUUAACACAUGCAAUCUUUAUUAAAUGAAUAAAGAUUUUUUUAAAAAUAAAUAAAUAAAAGAGGAGCAAAGCCGAAAUCAAUGGAGUUCAACUUCGUCGAGCCAAGUGUACUCAAUUUAGAAUUCUAAAUUCACAAGUCUAAUUAGGUUUAUGUUAUUAUUAUGAUAUUAGUUAGAAAGGCAGCCAGUAAGCAAGUCGAGUAAAACAGCUAUUAUUAUUAUUAAGUUUUCUUGGCCUCCUGCCUUUCCUAUUAUGUGAACUUUGGUGAACGACUAAAGAAAGUACCGGCUAAGCUUCUGAGUCUCAUCCAAAAUUAUUGGUUUUUACCAAGAUUCCUAAUUGCUACUAUUUGAAUUGUUUUUCAACUUCUAGUUCUCAUAAUUUUGAGAACAAUGAAACAUGAAAAGAAAUGCUUUCUUUGGUGAUUGAUUGAUGUGAUUCUAUUUCAUUGGAUCAUUUUAUUGAAUCUAUUUUUUCAUUGCUGCAACCAAAAAUGCUGGUGGAAUCUCUUUCUAGUUUCUAGAAGUACUCUAAUCGCCCUGUUCCUUCAUGAACAUUAAUUGUAGGCUUUUCUGCUGCACAACCUUUAAGCUUUUUCAAGUUAGAAUCAAGAGGGGUUUAUCAAAUCUCGAUCCUCCCCAAUUUAGGAUUUCAUAAAACAAAAAAUAACUUUGAGAAUAGGGAUCUCUCUCUCCUUUUGUUUUUUUGUUUUUUGAACUUUUUUUAAGAAUGAAAGUGAACUACUAUGAAAUUAGUGAGUUCCAAUUAGUUAAAUUAAUAAAUCUUUAUACUAAAAUAAGAGAUUUAGAUUUUAAUCAUGCUCAUGUGCAUGAGUAGUUACCAAUAUUACUAUGUUUAAGAAAAGUGGUGCAAUAGUUUGUUUCAUGUACAUUAUUUAUAAUUAAUCAUCACUUUUUUUUUUUGGUUAAAUGAACGACGAGAUCAAUUCUACGAAUUUAUGAUUGGAAUCUAAGGAAGAAAUCAAUAUGAUCUGGCUAAGAAAAUGGAGGACUAAAAUGAGAAUGGAACAUGAAUCUCUUAAAACAUAGGCAUUUGGGCAUCUUGAAUUUUUCUAUUUCAUUAUUAUUAUUGUUAUUAAUAUUAUUAUUGUUGUCGUCGUCGUCUUUGUGAGUGUUUAAGUCAAAUUUGUUGUGUAGAUGCUGAUAAGUAAAGAAUUGGUGAGUCAACACAUGUUGAUAGGGAGGUGAAUUCUUUUUCCUUUUUUAUCAUUUUUUAAUGAUAAUUUUUUUUGUCAUUUAUUCUUUUAGCAACUUUUAUUUUUUUCUUUAAGACUUUUUGUUUUUAGUGGAAACACGAGAUGCACGCGAGGUGGUUGUUAAUUUAGGAGUUGAGUUGAGUUUUUACCGACUGUUGAAUUAAUAUUCAUCAAAUAAAAGAAUAAAAGGAUAAAAUGUAAAAUAAAUUCUAUUAAUAUAUUAAUCAAUAAAAAUUAAGUUCAAUAUUGAAUUCUCUAAUUCGUCAUUUAACCUAUAAUUUUGAAAAAAAUAUUUAAAAAAUAAAAGAAAACAUAAUAAAUUAUUAAGUCAUAUGACGUUAUAAUAUUAAUACAUUAUAUUGUCACUUUUUUUUUCAAGUUGUAUGAUUUUAUAAUUAAAUCUAGAGUCAAGUUAAAUUACAGGGUGAGUAAUUUACGACCCAACCAUUUUGUGCAAAUAUGAAUAUUUAUAAGAGUGGGUCCGGGCUGCAAGUUACCACUGAUGCUUUAACUUAGCGAAAAGCCUUAAGUCUUAUCUUUUUUCGGAUUAUUUUCUCCAUUUGGAUAACACCACUCGAACUUUAGUUGACCACGUGUCAACAUGUCAAUGGUAUCAUAUCAAAUUAUUAGCUGUGAAUAAUUGAGUGAGAAAACAUACCGGACCCACAACUUUUGCUUUUACGUGAACGUGAAUCAGAUCCCUUGUUUGUUUUUUGUUGUUGUUGUGAUAUGGUGAAUCAGAUUCUUGAACUGAGAAGUGGGGAUCCAUCGUUUGAGUUAUUUAAAUUUAAAGCCAGCAAUAAUUGCAGUUUUAUUUAUUUAUUUUUUUAUUUUUUUAAAAAAAAUGAGGCAAUAAUUGAAGCCUUAGGAUUGUUAUUGAUUAUUACCUCCACCAAAGCUUUCUGAAAAAACAGAUUAAGAAAUUUGUUUUUUUUGUUUUCCACGUAACGACAUAAGACGAUCGCUCUUAAUUUUAAAUGACUCAAGUUGACUUACCGUUGAACCGGAAGGAUAUAAAGAGAAUGACCUUCUCAUUUUCCAUCUGCCACAAAAAUUUAUUUAACAAAUGAGUGCAUAAGCCGGGCUUAAAGUUUUAUUUUUAACCAAUAUAUAUAUAUAUAUAUAUGGGCAAAACUGCGUUGCAAUGGGGUUUGGUACCCCUUUCUCUUGUCUUUUUCAAGGUUAAUUACAAUGAAAUCCUAUUAUUUAUUGUAAAUACAAAAAAAUUAAAAAAAACUUAAAUUUUCACACAUUAGUCUUAUACCCAAAAAUUUUCAAUUGAAUUAAUGCUUCUAGAAGCCAUGAUUUGUUUAGAAUUCAAGCACCUCUAAAUUCAACCACUUACUCUCUUUAUACACACAAACACCAGUAAAUUAAAAGAAUUUUUUUUUUAGUUGUGUGAUUGAAUUUGAGGCGCAAAACUUUAAUAGAAAAUAAAUGCAAUUGCAUGCUUUCUUUUUUACUUUGUAAAACUCCUAAUUUAAUAAUCCAUUUAUGACACAAUUAAUUAUACUAAUUGACUUAUAUUUUAAUUGAUAGAUAUGUGCUGAAUUGCCAUAUCUAUUGUUGUGCAUGUGCGAUGUUAGGUAGAGAGAAUAAAGAAUAGAAAAUACUUAUUUUUUAGUUUAUUUUUACAAAGGAAAAUUUUAAAUUAUUUUCAAAUAGAGUAAUUGUUUAGAAUUUUUUUUACCCUUCUUUUAGUUAAGUUAAUGAAAGAUCUCAACCGUAUGGAUGUGUGCUAAUGACUAUUUAAACUGGUAGGGUGGAGUAACAAAUAUCAAUUUAUUUAAGUGUGCAAUUAAAUUUAUUCUUUUUAUUUGAGGAAAAAAACUUACAAAAAAUACAAACUCAUUGUUCAAACAAACAAAACUUAUUUUACAAAUUCAUAAACUAACACUUUAUUAUUAGUAGUAAAUUAACAUAUUUUUACUACAUAAUUAAAUAAUUGAUAGUAGGUUAAAUAAAUCUUAUGUUACAAAAAAAAUUAACUACAUAGAAUAUCAAAUUAAAUUUAUUUUCGUAUUUUGUACAUUACAUUUACUUGAGAUAUUAAAAUCUCUUGUGUUGGAAUUAAAAAUGGUUAUGGGGUUUGAACCUUGGUCACAUGGGUGAGUGGAAAAUUGGUUGAUGUUAUAUUAAAUUAAAAAAAAAUCAUAUUUAUAUUUAUCAUUAAUUAUGGUUCAUAAAUAAUAUACAUAGUUUAACUAUAUAUUAAAUUUUUUAAUUAAUAAGUAAAUUUAUUAAUUUAAAUAGAUAUUAAUAAAUGUAAGAAUAAUUCAUUUAAUUGGAAUUUAAAAAAUAAGAAUAUUAUAGACUUCUAUGUCAUAAUUUUAAAAUUUCUGAUUUUUCUUAUUUUGCAUGAACUUAAUGUUAAUAACCUAAAAUCACAUCUAAGCCAUUAUGCAACUCCUGCGUUACAUCCAACAAUAAAUUAGAAAAAGACAAAAAAUGGGGCACCAAACCCCAGGGGUAACAUAGCUAUAUAUAUAUAUAUAUAUAUAUAUAUAUAUACAGUAGUUUUCUGGUCAGGGAUUUUAAAGUGCGGAAAAGUCCGGGAAAGCUUUAAAAACGCACGGCUUAAAAGGCUUACAAUUUUAAGCCUUUAAAACUAUACAGUUUUAAAGUUUUACCACACUUUUCCGCACUUUAAAAUUUUGGACUGGAACAUUUUUCUCUAUAUAUAUAUAUAUAUUUAUAUUAUAGAAAAAUGACAUUUACAUCCCAAGAUUUAGGGAAAUAGUUACAAAAACUCUUGAGUUUUUAAUAAAAGACACCAAAACUCUUUUUAACCAUAAUGCCCUUUGAUUCUAUAAAUCUUCAAAAAACAUAACUCCAAAAUUUUAUAAUGAAUAGAAAUAUGGCAUUUAAAUAAAUGUAAUAAGAUAUACAUUUCAAAAUAAUUUUAAUAUUUAAAAAUAUUUUAAUAUUUUUAAUCUAUUAGACCUCUUUUAUUAUAUUAAAACAAUUUUUAAUAAAAAUAGAAACAAAAUAUUAAAAUAAAUAAAUUAAAAUUAAAAUUAUUUUGACUAUUAUGUAAAAGUUAAUUUUAAUAUUAUUAAUAGGGAAUUUUUUUAAUUGUAAAAUCUAUUUAACCCAAAGAUUUAUUUAAAAUCUUUUUAAUAUUACAAGUAUAUUAUUAAAAUAAAUAUAAUAAUUUAAAAUUUUAAUAUUAUUUUAAAUAUAAAAAAUAAUUUAAUAUUAUUAGUCUACCAGAUAUAUUUAUAUUAUUUAUACAAAAUUUGUGUUAGUUAAAAAUUUUUAAAAUUAAUUUUUUAAUUAAUAUAAUCAAAAGGUAUUGUGGGCAAAAAAAGUUUUUGUAUCUUUUUUUUAAGACUUAAAGAGUUUUUUGUAAUUAUUUUCCCAAAUCUUGGAAUGUCGUUAUCCUUUUCCUUUUUUUAUCCCAUCUCAGUUUUUUUACAAGUAUUCAAAUAAUAGUACGUGAAAUGUAUUUUAAAAUAGAGUGAUGAUACAACCACAAACUCUUGUACAAAUUUAUUUUGUACAAACUAAUGUGGCAUUAACUCAUUGGUUGAAUGAAAAUAUAAAAUAAUAAAAAUAAAUCAUGUGGGACAAGAGAUAUUUAAUUCAACCAAUUUUAUCAUGCCACAUCAAUUUGUACAAAAUAAGUUUGUACAAAAGUUUGUGGCUAUAUCAUUACUCUUUAAGAUAUCCAUCAAUUUAUUGUUUCUUAAAGUACCUUUUAUUAAUAAAUAGCAUAAUACACACGAAAGAGCACAGAUAUUGAUGUUCAUACAUCCGAAUCAAUUUUCUUUAUGAGGAGUCUACGUCAUGAUUUCUACGUCACAAAUUCUCCAAAAUAUGAUGUAUAUCUAUUCUUUCCCCUUUUGGUAAAAAUAUCUCACUCUUAUUUAAGGCAAACCUCAUAGAGGCAAUCACAAAACAUGAAGAAAAUUGAUUUUGUUCCUAGUCCUCACUUUCUAAAAAGAAUUUUCGUUGAAGCUAUAUAUAUAUAUAUAUAUAUUGAAUCUUUUGAAAAAAAUUGCUUCCUGAGCAUAUUAUUUCUUGCUGGUUUUCUUCAAUUGCUCUUCUUGUUCAGUUGUUAAAACUUUCCAGUUUCCUCUCUGUAGUACAAAGAAUAUUUGAUCAUUGAAGUGCCACCUUCGUAGUGUUAAUUUCGGUGAUGGAGUCCGCUGCUCAAGUGAGGGAUGUCGAUGCUUUGUAUGAGCUAAUUCGACAUGAUCGAUAUUUUUUGGACAACUUCGACGAGAAACCUUUUGUCGACACUCCUUUGCAUGCUGCUGCAAGGGAUGGAAAUGUUGAAUGGUCCAUGGAGAUUAUCAGACUAAAGCCAUCAUUUGCCAGGAAGCUAAACCAAGAUGGCUUCUCUCCGGUGCAUUUAGCUUUGCAAAAUGAUCAAACUCAGUUAGUGCUUCAGCUGAUAGAUAUUGAUCCGGACCUUGUUCGUGUCCAAGGAAGAGAAGGCAUCACUCCUUUGCAUUUCGUGUCUGAAAAAGGAGACAUCCAUCUGUUGAGGGAAUUUUUGUCUGCUUGUCCGAAAUCUCUUGAAGAUGUGACGAAUAAAGGCGAGACUGCUCUUCAUAUUGCUUUGAAAAACGAUAAGGUCGAAGCUUUUGAUCAAGCCUUAACAACAGUACGACCACCGUGGCUUGGCCCUGAAGAAGCUCAACAAUACAAUCAAAGAAUCCUCAACUUGAAAGAUAGGGAUGGCAACACUCUGUUACACGUAGCAACAUCCAAAAGUCAAGUCCAGGCAAGCUCGAAUCCACACACACAUAUAUAGAAAUUUUUCAAUGAGGUGCAGGCAACCUCAUUUUUUUUAAUGCAGACAUGCUAUUAAAUUAUGUGAUUUAAUAGAGUUAAUUUUUAAUUCAUUAUAAAGCCGUGUAUUUUAAUAGCAUGCCUGCAUAUAGAUUAAUAGAGUGUUCGUAUCAGGAAAAAAAAUGAGGGUGUUCACAUUAGAGAAUGACUAUAUUUAUAUAUGUAGUAUCUAAUUAAUGACCUUAUCUUCAUUUUAACAAAGAAAAUAUAUCACAAAUAAAUAAAUAAAAAGUAGUUUAACAAAGUAAGGAUAUCACUAACAAAAAAAAAGCAGUUUUCAAUAUAUUGAAAUAUGUGUUUUUUUUAAAUUUUAUUUGCAUUCUUAUUUUAUUAAAAUUUCUCGUUAGGGAAGGACUAUAUGUAUAUGUUCACAAAUAAAAUUCAGUUGAAUGAUGUCUAAAUUGAUGAAUUUGUUUAUCCAAAGCAGAUUGUAAGGUGUUUAUUGAAUUGCAAAGUUGAUACAAAUGCCCGGAAUUCGGAAGGUUUGACACCUUUAGAUAUUUCAUUACUUGAUAAAACUAAAUCAGAAAACCAAGAGAUUGCGGCAAUGCUGCGGGAAGCUGGAGCACUAGAGGCAACUUCACUUCCUAUUACCGACAAGGAUAGACAUUUAUCGAGGUAACAGGAACACUGCUCUUUUACUAAAUUACAGUCCAUUUAUCGAUCAUCUUUUUAAAAACAAUAUGGCAUUUUCAUACUAUGUACAUCUCAAAAAAUGUUUAAUGUCCUUCAGAAGUAAGGAUCAGAGGCUGAACGAGGCUGCUCAAGCAGGAAAUGUUGAUGCCUUGUAUGAAUUAAUAUGGGAGGACGCAUAUCUUUUAGAUCAGAUAGACCAAGUGCCAUUCGUGGAUACUCCUUUACAUAUAGCAGCAUCAAUGGGGCAUAUCAACUUUGCCCUGGAGAUAAUGAGGUUAAAGCCAUCAUUUGCGAGAAAGCAAAACCAAUAUGGAUUUACUCCCCUGCAUCUUGCUUUGCAGAAGCAAAACCAAUAUGUACUUAGUGGCGAGGAUCUUUUGCAGAAGAAACAGACCCAAAUGGUGCUUCGGCUCAUAGACGUGGACAGAAAUCUGGUUCGUGUCCAAGGAAGGGAGGGUGUAACGCCUCUACACUAUGUUGCUGAGAAAGGAAAUGUCGACCUUCUAUGCAAACUUCUAGCGGCUUGCCCUGAGUCCAUCACAGAGGUGACAAUCCGUAAAGAGACUGCUUUGCAUGUUGCUGCAAAAAAUGACCAGUUGGAGGCCGUUGAGUGCACGCUAGUAUGGCUUCGAUAUGUCGACAUGGAGGAUAUCCUUAACUGGGCGGACGAUGAAGGCAACACUUUAUUGCAUAUCACAAUCUCCAAAAGUCAAAUAAAGGCAUGAAAAGUUUUUAAAUUUUACUUCAGUUAGUCCCUAUAUUUUCAUGAUUAUUAAUUGCAUGCAUAUAUAAAUAUAUACUUGCAGUUGGUGAGGCUAAUAGUUAAAAGAGCACGUGAUCAAAUAAAUGCCCUGAACUUACAAGGUAAGACACCCAUGGACAUGGUAGAAGAACAUUUGCAAGGGAAACCUGGAUUUAAAGAAGUAACACGCAUGGUGCGCAAAGCUGGCGGUAGACAAGGGUCCUCCCUUCCUGAUGGGAACAUUGCAGGUUACUUAAAACAAGGUUUGACAUGGCGUCGAAAGGUGCUUUUGUUCUUUUACCGCUCAUCACAGCGCAUUACGGAUGAAAAUCGAAGUGCACUACUUGUGGUUGCUGUAUUAAUCGCGACAGCCACAUUCCAAGCAGCGCUUACCCCGGCUGACGAUCUUCAGGGAAAUAAGUCAACUGGAACCGGCAACUCUGUUGCCACUUUUGGAUCACAAUCAGCAUCGACAUCGACAUCGGCAUCAGCAUGGGCAUAUGUAACACCAUCAGGAAGAGCAAAUGCAACCGCCAUUUCUCGGAGCAAUGGAAACAGCAGUAGCAUUCCAACAAGUGACGCGAUUCUAUUCGCUGCGGGGCAAUUAUAUGGCGAUGCCAUCAGUGAUAUGAUCUCCACACUUUUCGCAUUUUCAAAUAUUACAGCAUUUUGUAUAUCUAUGCUGGUGAUUAAUUAUCACCUCCCGUAUGGCUCCGCAGCUACUCUGGUAUAUCCUCUAGUUAUUUGCUUUUGCCUGUUAGUGGUUGGCAGAACCCCGGUGUCGCUACUUGCCUCAUUCUUAAUGCUUAUCGUCUUUCGGAUUUUUUUAUUUGUACAACUGGACUUCUCCAAGAUUCGAUUUAGACGAAGCUUCUGGAUUACACAAGUUUUGGGCUCCGUUUUCAAACAUUACGGAAGCUUCCGCAAUAAGAUGAUGAAAGAAGCUGAAAAAUAGCUAUAAUUCCAAUAAGCUGCCAUGGACAAAACACAUGUCCGUUGGUUUGUUGAUGUUCUCUGCUGGCUUGGCUAUAUCUACUUAGUGUGACACUUCCUCUCAAGUAAUAUUGCUGGUUUUUUUUUUGUGUAAGAAGGUGUGCUUUUCUGUAUUGUAUUUUCUGAAUUAUGUUCGUUUGCUUUUGCUCCAUUUUGUAAGGUCUUGCAUGUUUCAAUGUAAAAUUGCUCUUGUUGUAUCUGAUAGUUGUAUUGUUCACCUUUGUGACUGUGAAUAUAAUGAUGUUAAUUUAAUUAAAACUAUAUGCUUGUUUGGCUGAUAAGAAAAUGAAGAAAAAUUUAUUGACUUAGAGAGGAAAAACAGAAAUUGAAUCCAUUAUGAUUGAUACAAUGAAAUGAGAUUACAAUACACUAUAUAUAUACACUAUAUAUAUAUAUAUAUAUAUAGUAACCAACAAAGUGUUGGCUCCACUGGCAAUGGAGUCUCCUUAAGUGGCUUGACUGGGUUUGCUCCCCAGUUCGAGUCGCAGGGAAGUUGCCUUUGUUGGGAGAACCUGUGCCUCCCGGUUCGAGCGGGGACUUCUAGUCUGGGUUGUGGUACGGGCUUAAAGGUGCCUCCCACAGUUAGAGCCCUCCCCAGGAUACCUCGUGGAUAAGACAAAAAAAAAAAAAAAUAUAUAUAUAUAUAGUAGCAUCUGGAACUUUCCAAGUGUAGCAGAAUCAUAUACACAGUCUCUGAUAUUCACCAUAACAUUUUGGUGGGAAAUAACAAACUUUUAACAGCUUGCAUAACAAUCUUCCAGUAGCUUCCAGCAUCUUGUCCAGCGUGGCAUCUGAUUCAUUACUCUACUUAACAAUUUGCUGACAUCAAUUAGCUGACUCAACUUAUUCUUAACAAAUUUUUAUCAACAUAUGAAAUAGCAAUAUCAUUGGGCUUUUGAUGCUCCCACAGACUACUUAAAAUUGUACCUAUAAAAGUCUGUUAGAAGAAAAGCUGAUUCAAAAUACUUACGGCAAUAUAUAAGUAUGCCUCCGGUAAUAGAGCGAAAGCCAACACAUGAAGAAAAACAAACAACAAACAGCAAACGCACAAACAUAGCAAUAAAAGAAGACAAGACAAUGUCUGAUGAGAUUAAAAAUCUGACAAUUGAUGAACCCUUCAACACCCCUCCAAAAGGCUCAGCUGGGUCAUAAUAAAUCUCAACAUCCUGUGCCCUAAGUGACUCAUCAACCCUAAGUGAUUCAUCAACCUAUGUAUCGGGUUUUUCAUUCAUCAGUAAAGAGUUUCAGCACUUGAUCUGAAAAAUAAAGACUGCUUUUGACACUCUAGAAAUUCAAUUUCAUUUUUCCAUGUUAUUGAUGAUCAAACUCAGAUUAGCAACUGAAAAUAUAAUAUAACAAUUUGACAUCAAAAGUAAGUCCACUGAAAAUUUUGGAAAUAUAUUAAUUAAAAUUAUGUUGAUGAAAUUUUUGAAAAUUUUAUGCAUGGUUUUGGUUUACGAAUAGUGUUGGCGAAGGGCUUUAUUGUACAAGUACAGGUGCUGCUUCCUCUUCAUCUAUAUUAUACGGUUUACAGUGUUAAUUUAUUUUAGUACUUUGUUUCCUCAUUUGUUGAAAUCCACUGAGUGCUUUAAAGUUACCUGAUUGACACUAAAAUUAUCAUUUUUUUCCUUCAUCCUGUUCUCAAAUUCAGUCACGUUCCUUCGUCAUUUCUUCACGAAAUCCAAGUGCGGGCAACCAAUUGAGAAAGCCUGUAUAUUGACAACCUCAAUCAAAAUUCUUCAGUUCCUUACAUGUUGAUUUCGAUCUCUAUAAGUAAAUUAAAAAAAAAAAAGACUUCUUUAUUUAUUGCAUUGACUGUCUAUCAUCAUAUCCUACAAUCACAAUAACUAAAUUAACAAUUAACAAAAAUAGAAAUUGAACGUCGUUGCUGUGACCCAAGCCUCCAUUAUUGUUAUAACAAUUGCUGAAGCGAUUCAAUUCUAUUAUUGGCUGCCCUAACUUUUGCAAUUAACAAAAAAGUGGUCGAGAAGAAUAGAAAGAGUACCGGAGAAGAAUAGAAUAUAUACAUAUAUAUAAAUAUAUAUAUAUAUCCAACGUCUCCUAGUGCCCUUUUUCUUUUUAUUUUGCAGGCUGCACGUGGUGGAUCCCACCAUGUCAGCCUGCAUGUGGCCUUUGAUGUCCCGCAUCAGAUUACUAUAUAUAUAUAUAUAUAUAUAGAGGUCAAUGUAACUUAUGGUUUGGCUGUGUAAUUUCAUUCAGCCCCCCAUAUUUGAUGUUAUUUAUAUUAUAUUCAUGCAUAUUAUAAAACUUUCGGAUUUGGAAAAUUUCGUUUAAUUCCUUACACUCAAUUUUAUCUUAUUGAAACCUUAGAGUACGAAUUCGCCCCCUAUAAUUUUAAAUUCUCAAAAUAACUUCAUUUAAUUAAAAAUUUUAAUUAUUAUUAAUUGAAUUAUAAUUAUAAUUAUUAUUUUAUUAUAAAAUUACAAUUAAUUAAUCUAUUAACAAUAAUUAAUAAUAAUUUUUAUUAAAUUGUUAAUAAUAAUAAUAAUUAACGAUAAUUAUUAUUAAUAAUUAAAUUUUAAAUAAUAAUAACAAUAAUAAUAAUUAAAAUAAAAAAUAAUAAUUAUGAUAAAAAUUAAUUAAGGAUUUUAUAGCAAUUGGUUAUAGUUUAACUCAUUCUAAUUUUAAUUCUAAGACAAAAUAAAUACAUAAAUGAUGAUACAACUCAUUCUAAUUACGAUUUCUUCAGUUCAAGUAAAUAAAUUAAAAUAAUAAUUAUUAUUAUAAUUCAUUUAAUAAUAUAUUUUCUCAAUAUUUAUUUUUAAUUUACUUUUUUUCUAACAACCAAUAUAUUUUCAUCGAGUUAAAACUGAUCUACAUCUUAUUCUAUUGUAAGAUCUUACAAAACGUGAUUAUUUUCAAAAGUUAAAAAAAUCUACACACACACACACUCUCUCUCUCUCUAGAAAACGUUUUAGAGAAAAAUAAAUAAAUAAAUAAACAAAAUAACAUUAUAAUGUAUUUACUUAAACUAAAGAAAUCGUAAUUAGAAUAAGCUGUAUUAUCAUUUAUGAGUUUAUUUUAUUUUAGAAACAAAAUCAAAAUGAGUUAAAAUUGUAAACCAAUUGCUAUAAAAUCCUUAAUUAAUUUUUAUUAUAAUUAUUAUUUUUUAUUUUCAUUAUUAUUGUUAUUAUUAUUCAAAAUUAAUUAUUAAUAAUAAUUAUCGUUAAUUAUUAUUAUUAAUAAUAAUUUAAUAAAAAUUAUUAUUAUUAUUAUUAUUAGAUUAAUUAAUUGUAAUACUUUUUAUUUUUGUUAUUAAUAAUAACAAUAAUCUAUUUAAAAAAUAUAAAUAUAUUUAUGAUUAUAAUAAAAUAAUAAUUAUAAUUAUAAUUCAAUUAAUAAUAAUUAAAUUUUUAAUUAAAUGGGGUUAUUUUGAGAAUUUAAAAUUAUAAGGGGCGAAUUCAUACUCUAAGGUUUCAAUAAAAUAAAAUUCAGUGUACGGGGUUAAACGAAAUUUUUCAAAUUAGAAAGUUUUAUAAUAUUCAUGAAUAUAAUAUAAAUAACAUCAAAUAUGGGCGGCUGGAUGAAAUUGCACAGCAAGGCCAUAAGUUUGUAACUUAGGCGGACCUAUAUAUAUAUAUAUAUAUAUAUAUAUAUAUAUAUAUAUAGUUGGAACCUUCUUAUGUGGCAAUAUGAUUGCAAACUUAUCAUUCCUAACUGUUGAAAUUUGUGUAGCAGACUACUUAUUCUACAUCUCUUGUGAUAGAAAAUGGAAAUACACUUUUUAUAUGCUCGACAAUUAGCCAAAGUAUGGCCUAUCUGCACAAAACCUUUUGAUUAAUCAUAUCAAUUUUAAUCACGUCAACAACGUGAAAAAAAAAAUCACCCAUUAUAUAAUAUUGCACAAGAUUUUGAUUUGCACCUAGUAUUGGGUUUGCAAACGACCAGAUUCACAAGAAGUUUCUUUCUGCUAAAAUUAUGCAAUCGGAUACCUACAUUAUAUGUGUAGCGAGCAUUAGAUCUGCUUAGCUUAUGAUGAUGAAUUUUCCAUAAAUUUAAUUUGGAUGGAUCGAUUCCAGUAUGCAUGUGAAUGUGUGUUGAGGCAAUCAUUGAAAUAGGCUUCGAUGUGUUUGCCCUUUAAGCUAGCCUGCUUAUGUCAAAAUAGAUCGUACAAUUUAGAUGAUAUAGCAAUUAUCAUUUAUUAGAUGCAAUUUUAAUUUGUAAUGGUUACAUGAUAUGUAAAUGAUUAAGUCCCAAAUCGCGGAAUUGAAGCCACGAAAUAAGGCAAUACUAGUUUAAGAGAUGUUUAUGAUUCAUUUUAACGAAUGUUGCAAUGGAAUUGGGGCAGUUUGUAAAUCUUGCCAUUGUCAAAAUGAAUGGAAUUAGCUUUGAAGUUAACAAGGAACUUUUGGUUUGUUCUUGUAGCUCAUGGUAAAUUUCUGGAAUACCAUGUCCCAUCCAUGCUUGUCGAUGCAUCAUUUAUUGGGCUAAAACCUAUGAUCACUAUGUACAUGAUUUCAUGACAGUGGAAGCAUACAGGUCAACUCAUGGACUAGGUAUGAAAAAGCUCUGAUAAUUCUAUGAAAUGUGAGUUAUUAUGACACUUUUAGACUUAAAUCAUUAUUACUUAGAGAGUAAAUGACAUGUUUUUAUUGCAUUUUAGUUAUAUUUUACAUGAGUAUCAAUUUUAGUUUAGUUUCAAUAAAUUUUGUUGUUUAGAAUAAUUUGUGUGCUUAGAUUGUAUGCAUAAUUAUAGGUGAUUGGAAACUCAAAUUUCAAGGAAGGAAUGCUGCUGCAAUAGACUUGCAAAAAUGGUAAACGAACUUGGCUACAGAAGAAUUAAAACAAAUCUGGAAUAGUAUAAUUUUUUAGCUGUUGCUGUAGUAAUCCUGGAGUAUUGACAGAGAAGAUUGCAAUCUGGAGUUUCCUAAUUUGGAAGAUACGCACCCUAAACUUCCAUUUACCCUAAUUUUCAAUUAUAAAAGAAGCACACACGCAAAGGAAGAGAGGAGGCUGUCAACCAAGAAUAAACGAAAAGAAACAAGAGAAAAAAAGAGAAUAAAAGAUCAAAACUACGAGCUGCAACGAGGAGAAUUUGUGGAGAUCAAUUGGGAAACUUAGUCUUUCUUAUUCUUUUUUUGUUUUCUUGUUUAUUUUUUAAUCAUGAGGAUGUAUUUGAUGACUAAAACUCUUUUAUUUCUUUUUCAUUUGCAAACCAUGAACUAUAUCUAUUUGUGGUUGAGUGAUAAACAAUAUUGAUGGUUUAUUAACUAAAUAUAUGUGUUGUUGCAUGUUUGCUAUAACAUUUUGUUUUGAUAAUUGUUGUGCAAAUUUUAUUGAACUUGCAAGUGCACGAAUCUAUUGUAGAAUAGACUAAUGGUGACGAGUGUCGAUCCCACGAGGAGGUGGAUUUUAAUUAUGUGUAGAAUUAAUUUUGUAAAUGGGUGGUUGGAUUUGUGGUGGAAGUGAUUUAAAUUAUCCUAAAAUUGGAAUUGAAAUGGCGAGAAUAAAUUCUAAAAUUGGAAUUGCAAUGACGAGAAUAAAUUGAAGAGAAAUCUAUUGAAAUGACGUACUUAGCUAUCUGGAUCCCUAUCAACAUGCAUCAUGGGCUAAAUAAUCCUUAUUAAUGCCAAUUAAAUCAUGAGGGGGGAAUCCACACCUCAUGAACUACACUCUAAUCAAUAUGGUGCUAAGGGCUUAUCGUGCCAAAUAAUAAUAACCUUGUACUAAAGAGCCGGUGUAACCAAGGCGGUAUCUAGACAAGAUUAUUAUUAUUUGUCGACGAAAAGUCAAAUCAUCCACAAAAAUUAGAGGGGAAAAGAAAAUAAAUUUACCAAAUAAAGUCCAUGACACAUGUUGAGACUUCACCUUCAAACCAAGCUUGAAAGAAAAUUAGCUACUCAUAAUUGAACUAGGGGCAAAAUGGAAAUUUAUUAACAUAUGUAGAAAAUACAAGAUGAAGAAGGAAUUACAGAAAAUGGAUCCCAAAAAUAGAUUCAGAGAUAUCAAAUUAGGGGGGAGGCCCCCUUUUUAUAGAUACAUGGAGUAAAUCAUGGCCAUCGGAUUAAAAACAGUUUGGACGCUCAGGAUUGCGCCACGUCAUCAGUCAAUAGUACGCGGUUUGACCACGCGGACGAACAGUAACACGGUUUGACCCAGGUUGAACAGUGACGCGGUUUGAUUGAAAAUAAUCCUGUGUGAUUCAUGUACCGUACGCGAGAUUUUUGGUCCACUGAUAUGCUGCCACGUCACCAUCAACAGUACAUAAGAAUUUUAGUCCAACAGGAUCGUGACACCUCAUCAGUCAAUGCCACAUCAUCGGUCAAUGCCACGUCAUCGAUCCCUCUAUGUGAACAGUGUCGUGAACAGUAACAUAGACAGUACCGUACAUGUGAAUAGUACCGUACAUGUGAAUAGUGCCAUUUUUCCUUUUAUGCUCCUCCUAAGGUUUUCGACCGUCCUGAGUUCAAAAGUGAUGUCCGUUUUGCCGUUUGAUCUCUCGUUUAUUGUGAAAUGACUAUGAUGCCCCUAAAAUACACAAAAUACUUAAUUAAAAUAAAACACACAUAAUUAAAUUACAAGAAACUUAAAUACCUAAAAGUAAGGGUUGUUAGUAAGACUUGAAAUGUAAAAUGACGAUUUUCUCCUUUAUAAAUAUACAUUUUCUAACACUCAACAAUAAUAUUUAUUUAUAUUCAUUAUUUCGACUGACUACCUAUUUAAUGAUACAAGCUAAGAAAGAACCACAAAAGGGCCUGUCUUAGUAGAACAUAUCAUAGCAAUACUUGGUUUUAGAUUGGGUUUCCUGAGUUGAGUUUUACUUGGGGUAAUCUCUUGGUUGUAAAGGUUCAUUGACACCUUGGAAGUCAAUUGUAAAAACUUGAAGCCUUGGGAGGCUUGGAUAGUGAAAUCCUCGAGCUUGGUUGGCUUGGAGGCGUGGACGUAGGCGGGGAUUGCCGAAUCACGUAAAAAUCCGCGUGUUUGUUUUUCUCUUCCCUUACUCUUUUAUUUUUACGCUUGUUUGAAUUUAUUGUUCUAUAUUUCAUUAAGGCGUUAGAUUGAUUUAUUGUGCGAAUCGUAUUGCAUUAAUUUUAAAAACCCAAUUCACCCCCCCUUUUGGGUUGCGUUACUUGCAUUUCAGUUGUCCCACCAUCUUCUCGAGACUUGAAAUUGAUUGGGCUUGUGAGUUGAAGCCCGCUCUCAACUUAUUUCGUAGUCCAUCAAUGGUACGGUUCUGUUGCUCAAUCGUGGAGUGAGUAACAUUCUUGAAAUUCCGGAAUGCAUCCUCCCAUGGUUUGGGUUGAGAGUAGUUCUUGUUCUGAUUGUAUGGUCUAAAUGGUGGCUGAGAGGCUUGAGGAUUUUGAGGAAUUGGUUGCAUUGGUGGAGCUGGAGCUGCUGGUCCAUUCUGUUGGAAUCCUUGAGACCAUGAAAAUAUGGGUGGUCUCUCCAUCCAGGGUUAUAUGUGUUGGAGUAUGGGUUGUAAUUUGAUGGUUUUCUCAUUACACCUAUGGCAUUGGCUUGAUCUGAGUAUGAGUCAUGGUCAUGUGGUUCUGUUGAUUUAGCAGUCGAUAAUGAUGCUAUUUGUCGAGCGAGACCUUCAACCAUCUUCUUGACUUCUUUGAUUCCUGAAGUUGACUCGUCAAUGUGAACCUCAUUUACUCCCUUAAUUCUUCUAGUAUUCCUGAGUGAUCGACUCCGUUGUUGGGAAUUAUCCGCUUGUCGUUGGAAGAAUUCCCAAAUCUCUGAUGCACUUUUUGACAUUAGCUCUCCUCCACUUGUUGCCAUUAGCCAUUCUUGCACAUUCGGCAAUAAUCCCUCCAAAACGUAUUGGCAUUGGUGCCAUUUCUCGUACCCAUGAUGUGGACACUUCAAGAGUAGCCCAUUGAAUCGCUCCCAUGUUUCGAAAAACUGCUCGUCUUCUCUCUGGGUAAACUCUGAAAUUUCCCUGCGAAUAGCAUUGGUUUUAUGCACUGGGAAAUAUUUAUUCAAAAAUUUUGUAACCAUUUGUUCCCAUGAUGCAAUGCUAUUAGCAGGCAAUGUAUUAAGCCAUGAACGAGCUCUAUCUUUUAAAGAAAAUGGGAAUAGUCUAAGUUUAACAUCAUCGUCUGAAAAAUUCUCGUAUUUAAAAGUUUGACAAAUAGCAUGAAAACCAUUCAGAUGAUUGUAUGGAUCCUCAUUUUCUGAGCCAUAGAAUGUAGGGAGACAAUUUAGCACACUAGGUUUUAACUCAAAACUCCUAGCAGCUACAUUUGUGUAUCUUAUGCAUGAUGUGCUCAAAUUAGCUAAAGGACUGAAGUAGUCCUUAAAUGGCCUCUCAUGUGGUUGCAAAUCCAUUUUAUUUUUAACUUGUUUGUGUGUGUGAAGUGUUUUUUCUAAUUCAAGGUCUAUAGGUUCAAGAUUAUGUAAUAAUGACCUACGACCAUGCAUGCAAAACAAAUAAAAUAAAAAUAAAUAUGGAAACAAAAAAAAUAAAAAUAAAGAAGAGGGGAAAAUUACGAUACUAACCUUAUUGCGCUAUUAUAACCUUACUAAAAAAAAUACACAAAAAAAAUACGUGAAAUAAAUUAACUAAAAAUAAAUUAAUAAGAUAAACCAAAAAAAAAAAAUUACAAAGAAAAAUAAAUUGAAAAUUAAAUUACAGAAUUUUAAAGAAGAGAAAAGGAAAAUAAAUACUAACCUUUAAAUGUAGAUUCACUUUUUUUUUUUCUUUUUUAAAAAAAAAAUACAAAAAAACAAUUAAAUGGAACUAUUCAAAAAUUAAUUCUAUGAAUUAAAAUUACUUACCUCCCCGACAACGGUGCCAAAAACUUGUUGUGCAAAUUUUAUUGAACUCGCAAGUGCACGAAUUUAUUGUAGAAUAGACUAAUGGUGACGAGUGUCGAUCCCACGAGGAGGUGGAUUUUAAUUAUAUGUAGAAUUAAUUUUGUAAAUGGGUGGUUGGAUUUGUGGUGAAAGUGAUUUAAAUUAUCCUAAAAUUGGAAUUGAAAUGGCGAGAAUAAAUUCUAAAAUUAGAAUUGCAAUGACGAGAAUAAAUUGAAGAGAAAUCUAUUGAAAUGACGUACUUGGGUAUCUGGAUCCGUAUCAACAUGCAUCAUGGGCUAAAUAAUCCUUAUUAAUGUCAAUUAAAUCAUGAGGAGGGAAUCCACACCGCAUGAACCACACUCUAAUCAAUAUGGUGCUAAGGGCUUAUCGUGCCAAAUAAUAAUAACAUUGUACUAGAGAGCCGGUGUAACCAAGGCGGUAUCUAGACAAGAUUAUUAUUAUUUGUCGAUGAAAAGUCAAAUCAUCCACAAAAAUUAGAGGGGAAAAGAAAAUAAAUUUAUCAAAUAAAGCCCAUGACACAUGUUGAGACUUCACCUUCAACCCAAGCUUGAAAGAAAAUUAGCUACUCAUAAUUGAACUAGGGGCAAAAUGAGAAUUUAUUAAAAUACGUAGAAAAUACAAGAUAGAGAAGGAAUUACAGAAAAUGGAUCCCAAAAAUGGAUUCAAAGAUAUCAAAUUAGGGGGGGGAGGCCCCCUUUUUAUAGAUACAUGGAGUAAAUCAUGGCCAUCGGAUUAAAAACAGUUUGGACGCUCAUGAUUACGCCACGUCAUCAAUCAACAGUACACGGUUUAACCACGCGGAUGAACAGUAACACGGUUUGACCUGGGUUGAACAGUGACACGGUUUGGUUGAAAAUAAUCCUAUGUAAUGCAUGUACCGUACGCGAGAUUUUUGGUCCACUGAUAUGCUGCCACUUCACCAUCAACAGUACAUAAGAAUUUUAGUCCAACAGGAUCGUGACACCUCAUCAGUCAAUGCCACAUCAUCGGUCAAUGCCACGUCAUCGAUCCAUCUAUGUGAACAGUGUCGUGAACAGUAACGUAGACAAUACCGUACAUGUGAAUAGUACCGUACAUGUGAACAGUGUCAUUUUUCCUUUUAUGCUUCUCCUAAGGUUUUCGACCGUUCUGAGUUCAAAAGUGAUGUCCGUUUUGCCGUUUGAUCUCUCGUUUGUUAUGAAAUGACUAUUAUGCCCCUAAAAUACACAAAAUACUUAAUUAAAAUAAAACACACAUAAUUAAAUUACAAGAACCUUAAAUACCUAAAAGUAAGGGUUGUUAGUAAGACUUGAAAUGUAAAAUGACGAUUUUCUCCUUUAUAAAUAUACAUUUUCUAACACUCAACAAUAAUAUUUAUUUAUAUUCAUUAUUUCGACUGACUACCUAUUUAAUGAUACAAGCUAAGAAAGAACCACAAAAGGGCCUGUCUUAGUAGAACAUAUCAUAGCAAUACUUGGUUUUAGAUUGGGUUUCCUGAGUUGAGUUUUACUUGAUUCCAAAAGGGUCGUGCCUAAUCCAAAAAUAGUGAUGAAUUAGAUAUAAGGAUUCACUUUGUAGGGUAAAUAGAACUUAAAUGUGUAAUGCUAUAUCUUAUGUUGGCAUAACAAUUGGUCACUGUUAAGUUGUAUAAAAAUAUAAGACAUCCAACAAGCGACAACUGAUGAUACGAUAAGAUUCUGCCCAGUGUUGUAGUAGAUGUUGUAGCAACCGAUCUUAAAAUUAGUAGAAAUCGUCAAAACCAAUAAGAGAAUUUAAUCACUCAACUACUCUAAUCCCAUUGGUUUUAUUCUUAUGUUUGACAUGGUACGUUUAUUUAUUUUUUUUAGUUAUUGCAUUUUAUUUUAAUUAGUUUAUUAGCUUAAUCAAUUAUCUUGUUUUAAUUUAGAACAAUAAUUGCACUGUUAAAGAUUACUGUAGCAAUUCUAAUAACAUCAAUCCCUAUAGAGACGAUCUUGAAUAUUCAUCAUUAUAUUUUUUGUUGUGUACACUUGCACAUUGACACCAAUAGCACAAGAAAAAGUUACAACAAGCUCCCUAAAAUAUUGAAGUAGCAGCUUCAGAUUAUUGACAUUGUUCAACCACCACCGAAAGGUUUGUGGAUCCUAUGAAUGGACAUUAUGAAACAUAGGAAACAUCCAAUUAUCUACUUAAUAGAUUGUCAAUAUGGUAUCUUCAUUUUUAAUGUGUGUUGGGUGAUUUCUAUUGUAAUAGGUGUCAUUGUGCAAGUGUACACAACAAGUAAUAUACUGAUAAGUUUUCAAAUCGUCGCCACAUAGAUUGAUGUUAUAGGAUUUGCUACAGCAAUCUUUGCAGUGUAAUUUAAUCUAAAUUAAAAUAAAAUAAUUAAUGAAAUUAAUGAACUAACUAAAUUAAAAAUGCAAAAAGGAAAAUUCUCAAGCUAAACAUAAAGACAAAUUCAAUAGGAAUAGAGUAGUUGAGUGAUUAAACUCACUUAAUAGUAUUGAUUGUUUUUCUAGUUAAGAUUCUGUUGCUACAACAUCUACUACAACACUGGCCAGAAUCCCUCAUGUAUCCUUAGUUGUCGCUUGUUGGAUAUCUUAUAUCUAAAUGCAACCUAACAAUAACAAGUUGUUAUGCUAACAUUACAUAUAACAUUAUACGUUCUAGCUUCCAAUUGCCCUACAAGGUGAAUCCCUAUAUCUAAUUCUUCACUAAUUUUAGAUCAAGCAUUGCCCUAUUCAAAUCGAGAUUAAUUCAACUUGGGAAACCCAAUCCAAAACUAUGUAUUGUCUUAAUUUGUUCCACUAAGUCAAAUCUUUUUUAGGCUCUUUAUUAGCCGGUAUCCACUAAAUGAGUGGUCAGCUGAAAUAAGGAAUUGCAAUGAGUAAAAUCAAGAAAAAUGCUAUAGAAAAUACAUAUCAACACGCAUAUAUCAGUCAAAUAACCAUUAAACUUAUUUAUCACUCAGCCACAACAAAGUUUAGUUAAUGAUUUGCAAUAAAGCAAUAAUAAAAAUAGGUUUAGCCAUCAAGUACAUUCUCAUAAAUAAAUAAAAACAAGAAAAUAAGAAAAAAAAAUUAAGUUCUACUUAAUUUUGGUGAUUUCUCCUCCGUUCUCUCCCUGAAUUCUCUAUUGCAGCUCUCACAUCUCUCUAUCUUGGUGAUUUCUCCUCAAUUCUCUCCCUGAAUCCUCUGUUGCAGCUCUCACAUCUCUCUUAUUCUCUGUUUUUUUCUAUUAUUUUUUCUUGAGAGACGGCUCUCUCUGUUUCUUUUAAUGUGUGCUCCUUUUAUAUCUUAAAAUUAGGGUAACGAGAAUCGUGUGGCCACGUAUCUUCCAUUUUUGGAAACUUUGGAUCGCAGUCUUUUAGUUAUCGCAUGUGAACUCAAGUUCGUCAUUGCUACAGGAUUGCUACAACAACGGCUAUAGCAUCGUUACUGUUCCAUACUUGUUUUAAUUCCUCUACAGCCAAGUUCUUUUGUCAUCUCUGUAAGUCUGUUGCAGCAGCAUUCCAUCCAUAAAACUUGAGCUUUUUGGUCACCUACAAUCAUGCACAUAAUCAGAGCACCAAGUGAUUUAAAACAAACUCAAUUUAUUAAAAUUAAACUUAAAUAGAUACUUAUGAAAAAUAUAACUAAAAUACAACAAAAACACAUCACUUACUCUCUAAGUAAUAUUGAUUUAAGUCUAAAAAUACCGUGAUAACUCUCAUUUCAUAGAGUUAUCAGUGUGCCUAUACUAAAAUAUUUUCGCUUCAUUUGUUUGUUAUUGGUAUUUCAUUACACUAUUGCAAUAGAGCCAGACACCUUUGCUAAAGUAUGAUAGCCUCAGCAUUCAAAGUAGUAGCAGCUAAGAUGAUUCAAUUAGUAAGUGGGAUUACUUUUCGCAAUCAUGGUAUAAAAAAAUUAUUCAUUUUGGUUUAUUCCUCUCUGCAGGCUUUUAGAAUUGGUUUAAGUGAUCUCAAUAACCUAACUUACUAUCUAACUACCUUCUUAUAUGACUGAUUUCAUUUAAAAUGCAUGUGCCCUCAUUUUAUUUUGGCUCAAGUGCACAACCUCAUACACUUCAAUCUGAUGGUAAUGUUGCUUACUUCUUGGGGAUCUUCCAAUGUAAAAAAAAAUUUAAGAUUCCUCCUGUGAUUGAAUAUUGCAAAUGCCUACAAUCUGGACUAUUUUUUUUUUUGUUUGUUGUAUUAGGGGAAUUCAAUGUAGCAUCAAAUUUUAUUUUGUAUGUUUUGAUAUCAUAAUAAUAGUUUCUGUAUUGCCAUAAAUGUUGUGCACGAGUUUAAUGCUUAUAUCAAACUUGUCAUUGCUCCAUGCUAGACUUGUUCUUAGACUACAUUGCUCAUGAAUCAUGCUAGUGCUUGGGUGAAUAAGCUAAUUAUAUCCUCUGGACAGUUGCUGGGUAUGAUGUUUUGAGCUAUAACAUUAUAUCCAUUAUUAUUAUCCAGAAAAAUAAGAAUUUGAUGCAUUAAAUUGCUCCCUACGUAACUAUUUCUGUAGAUGUACUUGAUUGAUCAAAUUGCUUUUGUCUUAUAUGUUGUUGCAGUGACCUCAGAGCAGGUUAUUUCGGAACACUUUUCCCUCUAAUAUUUGGAUAAUCAUUUGCAAUGCACACCAUUGUCUCCAACAUUUGAGUGAUCUUUAUAAGAGGCUUUUCUAUUGUCUACAGAUGAUUCUUCAUUACACUAUUAGUUUGGAGAAAGAAAUAAGGAAAAAAAAUAUAAGGGAUGUUGAAUCAGUCAUGCAAAUCCCUAACAUAAAUUAAAUCAUAGCAUUAUGACUAUGUACUGAACAAGAAGUAAAACUUGUAUGUUGAUAAAUUUUACCAGUUCCUCACCAAGGUUAAUCCAAAAAAACCUGCACUCUCUUUCCAUCUUUCUGUGCACCAAUAUGCUUAAGAACAUUUCAAAUUCCCUUAAUCGUUAGAAUCGUAGCACCGUGAACAUGUAGAGAGUAAGGCUAAUAGUAACCAUAGAAGUUGCCCAUAAAAAAAGGGAGAAAGAAAGUAAUUAAGCAAUUGUAAAAGGAAUUUAAAAAAAAAAUGCUUAGAUACUAUAUGUAAAAAGCACAUUUAAGCCUCUAAGAAAUUGAAAUUAAAAAUUACCUUCUUCUUCAAAAGAAAGUAAGGAAAAUAUCAUUAACCAAGAUAUUCAAUUCUAAAGAUGUGCAUCUACAAGAAAUCUAGGCAAUAGGCUCUAAAGGAAAAUUGAAUACAUGUGUACUCUAAAUUUGUCAUACAAAAGAGAGAAAGCACUAGAAAGCAAAGCAAUAAGAAUAAGCAAAAGCAAGAUAAUUCUAGAAAUUUUGAAGGAGAAAAUUCUAGAAACAAGAAUUAAAGAGAAUUAAAAGAAUAAAAGGAAUAAACCUAGUGGUAAUUUGAAGCGCCAUUGGUCUAAGGAGUUAAGCAUUUGUUUUGACAGCUGGGAAAAUGGUUGCUUUUGAGAAUGGUUCUUUCCCCUAACACUAACCCCCUCUCAUAUUCAUCACCUAUUCUGGCUUUUUUGCUACCGACGUUUACCUUGUUUUAAGUCUAUUUUACAUUAAAGUUUAAUCUACCACCACCUUUACAACCAUUAUCAUACUCAACAAUAAUAGUAAUAACAAAUAUUAUUAUUAUUACACUAAUUAUUUAACAUAUAUAUAUUAUAUAUUUUAUCCUUUACACUAUCACUGAAAUAUUAUUUCCCUCUUCAAAUAUACUAUGUGUUUGAAAGCUGAAAUCUAACUGUAAACUCUAUAUGGAAGCUAAGAAAAUGAAAUAGAAAUGUUUUAGAAACCUCUCGAUUCUUAUUCAAUUUCUCAUCAUCAUAAAAAUACAAUCUCGAUGGUAUUUAUACUAAAUUGAGUACUAAAACAGAAUUAUAACUUACAUAACAACUAAAGAAAACAAAAUGUAAUGCAUUAAUACACACGUGUUGAGUGUGCAGCUCCCUUUUGUACAUUACAUGCUUCCUUAAUAGCCCCCCUCAGACUCAGGGGGCAUGGAUGCCCAUUAAGUUUGCUUCUAAAGUAGUUAAAGUGAAUGAAUGUGAAAUGCUUAGUCAAGAUGUUUGCAAUCUACUCUUCACUAGGAAUGUGAUUGAUUUCCAAUUCCUUUGUCAAUACUUUGUCUCUUAUGAAGUGCAUGUCCAAUUCAAUAAGUUUGGUUUUUGAGUGAUAGACAUGAUUUUUUGCCAACUCAGUUGCACUUAUGUUAUCACACCAGACUGUGGGCACUGAAACACAUUUAAUCUUGAGUUCUUUGAAUAAUGACUGUAACCAUGCAAUUUCUGCACUUGCAGAAGCAAGAGCUCUGUAUUCACUCUCUGUACUUGACUUUGUGACUAUUGAUUGCUUCUUAGAUGAUCAAGAUAUCAAAUUAUGUCCCAAGUAAAUGCAAUAUGCACCUAUUGACUUUUUAUCAUCAAUGUCACAAGCCUCAUUUGCAUCAGUAUAACCUGUCAGCUUUAUUUCUUCUGUUUCUUUCAGAUAUCUAAGCACUCUCUUAUUAUAAGCCAUGAUGUGUUAAAGCAUAGGUGCAGACACAUAUUGGCUAAAUUUAUGUACUACAAAAGUAAUCUCUGGCCUUAUCAGAACUAAAUACUGCAAUCCUCCAACUAAACUCCUAUAGCUUAUUGCAUCUUCAACAUACUAGCUUAAAGAUCCCUUAACUUCUUUAUGAAGUUUUGCCCCUGUAACCAUUGGAGUAUCACAACCUUUGUAGCCAAGUGCAUUAGCUUUCUUCAACAAGUCUCCAAUAUAAUUUCUUUAGGACAUAUAAAUGUUAUUUUCAACAUAAGAGAUUUUUAUGCUAAGGAAAUAUGAAAAUUUUCCCAAAUCAUUUAAUGCAAAUGCUUUGCUGAAACCUGAGAUAAACUUUUCAAGUUCAUCACUGUUAGGUCCUGUUAUUAGUAUGUCAUCAACAUAAAUCAGGACCAGUAUCAAUGAAGAUCUUGUUUUCCCUUAAAAAAUAGUAAAAUAUCAGUCUUAGAAUUUCGAAAUCCCCAAUUUGUAACCAAACAACUCUUCAGUUUAUUAAACCAGGCUCUAAGAACUUGUUUCAACCCAUAUAAUGCCUUCUUCAACUUGCAUACAAAAUUUAAUCUUAGCUCAUCAACAAAUCUCUCAAGUUGACACAUAUAGACAUAUUUAAUUAGCUCUCCAUUUAGGAAAGCAUUGUUUACAUCUACUUAUCUAAUCAUCCAUCUUUGCAUUACAGCCAAGCUCAAUAUGACUCUCACUGUAAAAGCCUUUACAAUAGGACUAAAUGUUUUAAAAUAAUCAAUACCUUCAGUUUGUUGGAACCAUUUUGCAACCAAUCUAGCUUUGUAUUUUGCUAUAUUGCUAUCAUUAUUUUGUUUAAUUAUAAACACCCACUUGUUCCCAACAACUUUACACUCAGCAGAAGGUGGUACAAGACACUAGAUCUUAUUUUUUAUGCCAAUUCUUAUCAUUAAGAGCUUUUUGAACUGUGUCAAGUUCUUUGUUGAUCAAGGUUAUUGUGUAUAAUUUAUGCUUGAAUAUGACUUUGAUCUGGUAAUCAUUUUAUGUAUGGGUUUUAGAAUUAGGUUUUUGUUUAGAUUAUGUUCGGUGUAUUGUUGAUUGCUUAUUUUUGGUUCAGUUAUAUUUGAGUUGGUUCAAAAUUUUGAAGGACAUUAUGUUAUGUUGGUGAUUCUGAUAAAUGAAUGACUAGAUGAUUCUUGUUGAUGUAGAUUAUUUGUAUGCUGAGGCAAUAUAUGAGUUUUUUCAUUUCUUGGUAAUCAUGCUCAGUAAGUAUCUUUAAGUUUGCUGUUAAACAAAGGUAAUGUUGAGAGAUGAUAGACUUGUUGUUGAGAGAAAUUAGACAUUGUGUUUCUGAUUUAGUGACAUUUUCAGAGGAGGAAAAAGUAAUGAUUAUUGCAUAUAGAAAUACAGUUUCAUCAAAGACAACUUGUCUAAGAAUAUGAACUUAACCUGGGCUUGUGAGACAAUUAUACCCUUUAUGAGAGGUGUUAUAUCCAAUAAAGAUGUAUUUGCUGGUAUGAAAUUCAAACUUAUGUUUGUUAAAGUCUCUUAGGUAUGGAUAAUAAAGAUACCAAAGGAUUUAAAGAAAUUAUAGUCUGGUUUAUCCUUAAAUAGAUCAUAGAGAAAUAAGAGUUUCAAUACAGGUGUUGGCAGUCUAUUUUUGUGAUAAACUACUAUAUGAAUAGUUUUACACCAAAAUUUUAUUUGAGCUAGAAUGGUUAAAGCCAACUCAAUUAUAAGCCUAUAUUUUCUCUCUAUUAGACCAUUUUAGUGAUGAGUAUAAGCGCAUAAGUGUCUGAAAAUGACGCUAGAGGAAAGCGUUCAUUUUGAGAACUCAGGUCAGGCGCUGUAGAAGAGCGAGUGGACUAAGAUUUGUAUAGCGAAUUGAGUUGAUAAGACAUAAAUUGAGUUGAUAAGACAUACGCCCUAAAAUAGAAGAUUCACUGUAACGAGUGUAUCAUACCAUGCCUGCUUAGUGACCAAAAUGGAAAAUGAGAGAAUCUCUAUUCUUCCUCAUUGUGUAAGUUACAUAUGACUUUCUAUAAGUCAAUCUUGGUAUCCUUAUGACCAUCAACAAUGUUUCUAAGAUCUCAGACUAAUGUCUGCUACUUUAGCAUGUUAUCUAUGACCUUGAUAUGAUUGGUUUAUGAAACAUGACUAAGAAAGCGGCUAUUCUAGAUUGAUGGGCAUGAGUGUGAUGGAAAGAUUUAAUUUUUCUUUUUUGUGAUUCACUGGUCAACCAAUUGUAUAAUAUCUUUGAGAUAUUAUAAUUGUGAAUACAUAAAGAGAUUGUACAAUUUUAGCAUACCGAGGGAUUGAGUAUGCUUGAAUAUUAAAAUAAAUUAAAUUUGGGAGAAAAUGAACAUAUUUUUGAAAUUCUCUUGCAUAUGAUUGCAAUUGAGACACCUCUUGCCUGAGUUAGCAAUUGAGAUGUGUUUUUAACUCACCAAAUGAUUUUUUUUUGGAUAUGUUCAUGGUCACACAAUAUAUUUGCAUGUAUGAUUGAAGAUAUAUAAUUGUUCAUUGUUUCUUUGUUCAUUGCUCUACUAUUUUGACGUCGCCCCAUCAUGUGCGAGUGGGAGAUGUUAGAUAGGUGGGUCGCUCAUGAUGGGCUAACCUGACCCGAUCCGCAUAUGGUAAGCAGUUACCAUGUGCAAUUAUGGGGAGUUAAAGGAAGUUGAUUUAAAAUAAACUUCCCAUGUUAGUUUCCUAUAUAGAAAACAACUCCUUUAAUGAAAUACGAACGUAAAUAGCAGAAGAACAAGAACAGAGGGAGAAUAAAGUUUAAGAAAUUUGAGCAACUCAUAAAAAAUGAGGCAUUUAUACUGUGACUAGAGGGAGAUUUCCGUUCGUGAUUUCUUUCCGACCAUUGACGUGAUCCAACACUUGAUUACUCCACUGCUUAAUUCGAAAAGAAAGGUAUUUCUAAAAUCCUUAAUUAUUUUCGAACAAUUGUUGGCUUUUUAUCAACCUUUAGUCUCUUUACAUGUGGUUUUUUUAGUUUUUUUACUCUUUUUUUUUUUAAUUUCAUCUAUGUUUCUAAACAAAAAUGUAUACACUAACUAGUAAUUGUUUUUACCAAUCAUCUUUUCUAAUCAUCUAUGAACUUUUCUUUGAUAGAUAUAGCUUUUAUUCCAUUUAAAAGCCACAUUACCUUACUACCAAAUAGGCUUAAAUUAAAUUUCAGACGUGCAUGUCUUUAGUUAGUCGAAUUCUCUAAAGAUUAUGCUAUGACUAUGAAAAAUGCCGUGCGAAAGAGAAUGUAGGGUUUAUGGUUGAUUUCAACGCAAGCAUGCAUAUUGAAUUAUUAUGUUAUAAUAUGAAAAAAAGUUUUUUAUAUUAAAAAAUAUCAAUAUAGAUUUUUUCAAUUUAGUUUUUGGAAAAUUUAUAAAAAUAACCUAAAAACUUUUUCAUUUUUCACAUUUAACCCUUGAAACUUUUUCCUAUCAUAACUAGCCGAACAUAAUUUUUUCACCCCAAAUUACCCUUGUUAGUUCAAUCCAAACUUCUCUCCCUCAUUAUCAAACCGUAAGGAGUUUUUCUCUCUUGAAUCAUCAUCAACAACAGCGAACGGUGACUGUGACUGACGACAAUGAAGUCCAAUCAAAUACAGCCGAAUCCAUUCGGAUUCAAUACCAAUCCGACAUGAUCCUAAUGUUAAGUGUUAGAAAAUGUAUAUUUAUAAAGGAGAAAAUCAUCAUUUUACAUUUCAAGUUUUACUAACAACCCUUACUUUUAUGUAUUUAAGCUUCUUGCAAUUUAAUUAUGUGUGUUUGAUUUUAAUUAAGUAUUUUAUGUAUUUUAGGGGCAUCAUGGUCAUUUCACAAUAAACGAGAGAUUAGACGGCAAAACGGACAUCACUUUUGAACUCAGGACGGUCGAAAAUCUUAGGAGGAGCAUAAAAGGAAAAAUAGCACUAUUCACAUGUACGGUACUAUUCACGUGUACGGUAUUGUCUACGUUACUGUUCAUGACACUGUUCACAUAGAUGGAUCGAUGACGUAGCAUUGACCGAUGAUGUGGCAUUGACUGAUGAGGUGUCACGAUCCUGUUAGGCUAAAAUUCUUAUGUACUGUUGAUGGUGACGUGGCAGCAUAUCAGUGGACGAAAAAAUCGCACGUACAGUACAUGCUUCACAUAGGAUUAUUUUCAACCAAACCGCGUCACUGUUCACCCGGGUCAAACCGUAUUACUGUUCAUCCACAUGGUCAAACCGCGUACUGUUGACUGAUGACGUGGCGCAAUCCUGAGCGUUCAAACUGUUUUUAAUCUGAUGACCAUGAUUUACUCCAUGUAUCUAUAAAAUGGGGGCUUCCCCCCCCUAAUUUGAUAUCUCUGAAUCCAUUUUUUGGGAUCCAUUUUCUGUAAUUCCUUCUCCAUCUUGUAUUUUCUACGUAUUUUAAUAAAUUUCCAUUUUGCCCCUAGUUCAAUUAUGAGUGGCUAAUUUUCUUUCAAGCUUGGGUUGAAGGUGAAGUCUCAACAUGUGUCAUGGGCUUUAUUUGGUAAAUUUACUUUCUCUUCCCCUCUAAUUUUUGUGGAUGUUUUGACUUCUCGUCGACAAAUAAUACUAAUCUUGUCUAGUACCGCCUUGGUUUCACCGGCCCCCUAAUACAAGGUUAUUAUUAUUUGACACGAUAAGCCCUUAGCACCAUAUUGAUUAGAGCGUGGUUCAUGAGGUGUGGAUUCCCCCCUCAUGAUUUAAUUGGCAUUAAUAAAGAAUAUUUAGCCCAUGAUGCAUGUUGAUACGGAUCCAGAUACCCGAGUACGUCAUUUCAAUAGAUUUCUCUUCAAUUUAUUCUCGUCAUUUUAAUUCCAAUUUUAGAAUUUAUUCUUGCCAUUUCAAUUCCAAUUUUAGGAUAAUUUAAAUCACUUCCACCACAACCACCCAUUUACAAAAUUAAUUCUACAUAUAAUUAAAAUCCACCUCCUCGUGGGAUCGACACUCGUCACCAUUAGUCUAUUCUAAAAUAGAUUCGUGCGCUUGCGAGUUCAAUAAAAUUUGCACAACAAGUUUUUGGCGUUGUUGCCGGGGAGGUAAGUAAUUUUAAUUCGUAGAAUUAAUUUUUGUGAAUAAUUCCAUUUAAUUAUUUUCUUGUAUUUUUUUUCUUUCUUUAAAAAAAAAAAGUGAAUCUACAUUUAAAAGUUAAUAUUUCUUUUCUUUUUCUCUUCUUUAAAAUUUUGUAAUUUAAUUUUCAGUUUAUUUUUCUUUGUAAUUUUUGUUUAUCUUACUAAUUUUUUUUAAUUUAUUUCACGUAUUUUUUUGUGUGUAUUUUUAUAGUAAGGUUGUAAUAGCGCAAUAAGGUUAGUAUUGUAAUUUCUCCCUCUUAUUUAUUUUUAUUUGUUUUGUUCCCAUCUUUAUUUUUAUUUUAUUUAUUUUGCAUGCAUGGUCGUAGGUCAUUAUUACCUAAUCUUGAACCUAUAGACCUUGAACUUGAGAAAACACUUCGCACACACAAGAACGUUAAAAAUAAAUUUGGAAUGGAUUUACAAGCACCACAGGAGAGGCCAUUUAAGGACUACUUCAGUCCUUUAGCUAAUUUAAGCACAUCAUGCAUAAGAUACCCAAACGUAGCUGCUAGGAGUUUUGAACUAAAACCUAGUGUGCUAAAUUGUCUCCCAACAUUCUAUGGCCUAGAAAAUGAGGACCCAUAUAAUCAUUUGAAUGAUUUUCAUGCUAUUUGUCAAACAUUUAAAUACGAGAAUUUUUCAAAUGAUGAUGUAAAACUCAUAUUAUUCCCAUUUUCUUUAAAGGAUAGAGCUCGUUCAUGGCUUAAUACAUUGCCUGCUAAUAGCAUUUCAUCAUGGGAACAAAUGGUAACAAAAUUUUUAAAUAAAUAUUUCCCAGUGCACAAAACCAAUGCUAUUCGCAAGGAAAUCUCGGAGUUUACCCAAAGAGAGGACGAGCAGUUUUUCGAAACAUGGGAGCGAUUUAAUGGGCUACUCUUGAAGUGUCCACAUCAUGGGUACGAGAAAUGGCACCAGUGCCAAUACUUUUAGAGAGAUUAUUGCCGAAUGUGCAAGAAUGGCUAAUGGCAACAAGUGAAGGAGAGCUAAUGUCAAAAAGUGCAUUAGAGAUUUGGGAAUUUUUCCAGCGACAAGUGGAUAAUUCCCAACAACGGAGUCGGUCACUCAGGAAUACUAGAAGAAUUAAGGGAGUGAAUGAGGUUCACAUUGGCGAGUCAACUUCAGGAAUCAAAGAAGUCAAGGAGAUGGUUGAAGGUCUUGCUCGACAAAUAGCAUCGUUAUCGACUACUAAAUCAACAGAACCACAUGACCAUGACUCAUACUCAGAUCAAGCCAAUGCCAUAGGUGUAAUGAGAAAACCAUCUAAUUACAACCCAUACUCCAACACAUAUAACCCUGGAUGGAGAGACCACCCUAAUUUUUCAUGGUCUCAAGGAUUCCAACAGAAUGGACCAGCAGCUCCAGCUCCACCAAUGCAACCAAUUCCUCAAGUUCCUCAAGCCUCUCAGCCACCAUUCAGACCAUACAAUCAAAACCAGAACUACUCUCAACCCAGACCAUGGGAGGAUUCAUUCCAGAAUCUCAAGAAUCUUACUCACUCCACGAUUGAGCAACAGAACCGCACCAUUGAUGGACUACGAAAUGAGUUGAGAGCGGGCUUCAACUCACAAGCCCAAUCAGUUUUAAGCCUCGAGAAAAUGGUGGGACAACUUGCUUCUUCAGUUCAAACCUUGGCAAUGACUGUUGAGAAAGGUAAAUUUCCAAGUCAACCAGUGCCUAAUCCUAAAGGAGUGCAUGAAGCAAGUACCAGUUCACCACAGUGUUGAGUGUUAGAAAAUGUAUAUUUAUAAAGGAGAAAAUUGUCAUUUUACACUACAAGUUUUACUAACACCUUUACUUUUAUGAAUUUAACCUUCGUUUGAUUUAAUUCCGUGUAUUUUAUUUUAAUUAAGUAUUUUAUGUAUUUUAGGGGCAUCAUAGUCAUUUCACAAUAAACGAGAGAUCAUAUGGCAAAACGGACAUCACUUUUGAACUCAGGACGGUCGAAAACCUUAAGAGGAGCAUAAAAGGAAAUAUGGCACUAUUCACAUGUACGGUACUAUUCACGUGUACAGUACUGUAUACGUUACUGUUCACGACACUGUUCACAUAGACGGAUGAUGACGUGGCAUUGACCGAUGAUGUGGCAUUGACUGAUGAAGUGUCACGAUCCUGUUGGGCUAAAAUUCUUAUGUACUGUUGAUGGUGACGUGGCAGCAUAUCAGUGGACGAAAAAAUCGCGCGUACGGUACAUGCAUCACACAGGAUUAUUUUCAACCAAACCGCGUCACUGUUCACCCUGGUCAAACCGUGUUACUGUUCAUCCACGUGGUCAAACCGCGUACUGUUGACUGAUGACGUGGCGCAAUCCUGAGCGUCCAAACUGUUUUUAAUCCGAUGGCCAUGAUUUACUCUAUGUAUAUAUAAAAGGGGGGCUUCCCCCCCCUAAUUUGAUAUCUCUGAAUCCAUUUUUUGGGAUCCAUUUUCUGUAAUUCCUUCUCCAUCUUGUAUUUUCUACGUAUUUUAAUAAAUUCUCAUUUUGCUCCUAGUUCAAUUAUGAGUGGCUAAUUUUCUUUCAAGCUUGGGUUGAAGGUGAAGUCUCAACAUGUGUCAUGGGCUUUAUUUGGUAAAUUUACUUUCUCUUCCCUUUAAUUUUUGUGGAUGUUUUGACUUCUCGUCGACAAAUAAUACUAAUCUUGUCUAGUACCGCCUUGGUUUCACCGGCCCCCUAGUACAAGGUUAUUAUUAUUUGGCACGAUAAGCCCUUAGCACCAUAUUAAUUAGAGCGUGGUUCAUGAGGUGUGGAUUCCCCCCUCAUGAUUUAAUUGGCAUUAAUACGGAUUAUUUAGCCCAUGAUGCAUGUUGAUACGGAUCCAGAUACCCAAGUACGUCAUUUCAAUCGAUUUCGCUUCAAUUUAUUCUCGCCAUUGCAAUUCCAAUAUUAGAAUUUAUUAUCGCCAUUUCAAUUCCAAUUUUAGGAUAAUUUAAAUCACUUCCAUCACAAUUCCAGCCACCCAUUUACAAAAUUAAUUCUACAUAUAAUUAAAAUCCACCUCAUCGUGGGAUCGACACUCGUCACCAUUAGUCUAUACUACAAUAGAUUCGUGCGCUUGCGAGUACAUUAAAAUUUGCACAACACACAGCAGCAUGGAGAGGUCAAAGCAGUAAUGACCUUGCGAAAAGGAAAGGAAGUCGACAACAAAGUGGAGAUGCCGGUGACAAAAGAAAAUCAAAUUGUACUUGUGAAUGUUGAUGACUCAUCACCGGAGGAGAAAGAAGAAACCAACCCACGAGAAUAUGUUCCCAAGGCUCCAUUUCCUCAAAGGUUAGCGAAAGGAAAGAAGGGAAAAUCCACAGGUGAGAUUCUUGAAAUCUUCAAACAAGUAAGUGUCAACAUCCCUUUGCUUGAUGCUAUUAAACAAGUUCCAUCUUAUGCCAAGUUUCUUAAAGAUCUUUGUACUAAAAAGAGAAAUAUUCAUGUUCAAAAGAAGGCAUUUUUAACAGAAAACGUUAGUUCUAUCCUCCAACAUAAAAUUCCUCUGAAAUGUAAAGACCCAGGCUCCCCCACUAUCUCAUGUAGUCUAGGGAACUACACAAUUGAGAAUGCUUUGUUGGAUUUAGGAGCUAGUGUAAAUUUGUUGCCUUACUCUGUUUUCGUGAAACUUGGACUGGGAGAAUUACACCCAACUCCAGUGGUAUUACAACUUGCAGAUCGGUCCACGAAAAUACCUCGUGGUAUUGUGGAAGACGUGCUUAUCCAGGUAGACAAGUUUUAUUUUCCUGUUGAUUUCAUUGUAAUUGACACUCAACCAAUUCAGGAUUCAAGGAAGCACAUCCCCAUUAUUCUAGGCCGACCUUUCUUGGCAACUGCGGAUGCUCACAUUCAAUGCAGGACUGGAAAUAUGCAGUUGUCCUUCGGCAACAUGACUAUGGAGCUGAACAUCUUCAACAUUACCAAACAACCUCACAAUACAGAUGAUGUAAUUGUUGAUGUGGAUUUAAUUGAAGCAUUAGUUGAUGAUACUUUUGUUUCAAACCUUAGUGAUGAUCAUUUACAAACAUGUUUAACUUACUUUGGUUUGGAUUUUGAUAUUGACAGAUUGGUCGAUGAGGUCAACGCCCUACUUGACUUAGCACCAUCCAUGGACACUAAUAAAUGGAAGUCAAGAGUUGAACAACUAGCACCAUCAGAAAAGAAACUCAUCCCAUCAUCAGAAUCACCACCGAAACUUGAGCUCAAACCAUUACCGAACACUUUGGAAUAUGCAUUUUUUGGAGAAGAAAGUUCUCUGCCGGUAAUCAUCUCAUCAUCCCUCAAUGACGAUAAAAAAAGUAGGUUGUUGGAUGUUUUAAAAGAGCACAAAGGAGCAUUAGGAUGGACCAUAGCGGACAUAAAAUGUAUAAACCCAGUAGACUGCAUGUAUUACAUUCACCUCGAUGAAAAUGCUAAAUCUACUAGGGAAAUGCAACGUCGGUUAAAUCCUAAUAUGAAAGAAGUUGUUAGAACUGAAGUCCUUAAGCUAUUAGAUGCAGGUAUCAUUUACCCCAUUUCUGAUAGUUCAUGGGUCAAUCCUGUAUAAGUUGUCCCUAAAAAGUCAGGAGUCACAGUAGUUACGAAUGCCGAUAAUGAAUUGAUACCAACUAGAGUAACUACAGGAUGGCGUGUAUGCAUUGAUUAUAGAAAGUUGAAUUCUGUCACACGUAAAGACCAUUUUCCUUUACCAUUUAUUGAUCAAAUGCUUGAUAGAUUAGCAGGCCAUGAAUUUUAUUGCUUUCUAGAUGGCUACUCAGGAUAUAAUCAGAUUCCCAUAGCACCAAAAGAUCAAGAGAAAACUACUUUCACUUGCCCUUUUGGCAUAUUUGCAUAUAGGAGGAUGCCAUUUGGAUUAUGUAAUGCACCUACUACAUUUCAACGAUGCAUGUUAAGCAUUUUUUCUGAUAUGGUUGAACGAUUCCUUGAAGUCUUUAUGGAUGAUUUUUCUGUCUUUGGUGACUCGUUUGAUCAAUGUUUACAUCAUCUAACACUAGUUCUGCAGAGAUGUAUCGAGAAGAACUUGGUCUUAAAUUGGGAGAAGUGUCAUUUUAUGAUAAAACAAGGUAUUGUUCUCGGUCACAUCAUUUUAAGCAAAGGUAUUGAGGUUAACAAAGCCAAGGUGGAUCUCAUUUCUAAUCUUCCUCCACCCAAAACAGUUAGAGAAGUAAGAUCUUUCCUUGGGCAUGCUGGUUUCUAUAGACGUUUCAUUAAAGAUUUUAGUAAAGUUUCUAGACCCUUAUGCAAUUUACUUACUAAGGAUGUACCUUUUAUCUUUAAUGAUUCAUGUCUUGUGGCAUUUGAAAAGCUAAAGCAGUUGUUGACAUCAUCACCCAUCAUUCAGCCCCCAAAUUGGAGCUUACCAUUUGAGCUCAUGUGUGAUGCAUCUGAUUAUGCAGUAGGAGCAGUAUUAGGACAAAGAGUUGAUCGAAUUCCCCAUGUUAUUUACUACGCUAGUAUGAUAUUGAAUGAUGCACAGUUGAACUAUUCAACUACUGAAAAAGAAAUGCUAGCGGUAGUGUUUGCAUUAGAGAAAUUUCGAUCUUAUCUCAUUGGUUGUAAAAUAAUUAUAUUCACAAAUCAUGCUGCUCUUAAAUAUCUUCUCACAAAGAAAGAUGCAAAAGCUAGACUAAUUCGUUGGGUGUUACUUUUGCAGGAAUUCGACUUGGAAUUCAAAGAUAAAAAAGGCACAUAAAAUGUUGUGGCGGACCAUCUCUCUCGUCUUCACUUUGACACAAUUACAGAACCAUUACCAUUAAAUGAGUCAUUUCCAGAUGAACAAUUAAUGGGUGUGGAAGUAUUACCUUGGUAUGCUGAUAUAGUUAAUUAUCUUGUUACAGGUAAACUUCCAGAGCAUUGGACCAAGCAAGAUAAGACCAAAUUUUUUGCGGAUAUGGAUGAUUAUUUAGAGCCCUAAAAGACGAUGGAAAUGCCAUCUUUGAUCCAUUUGAGCCUUUCUAGCCAUCCCUUUUAUUAAAUAUCCAUAGUUAACCCUUUUGAGCCUUUAAAAAAAAAAAAAAACUUUUCUUUGUCAACUUAUUAUCUUGACCCACUCCGAUUUGGAGUAUUACCCGAUGUCUUAUAAGUUCCAUCACCUAUUUAUGUUUGAGAAAAUGUAAAUAAUUAUUUUGUUCAGUGAAGUUAUGAAAAAUAAAAAAAAUAAAAAAAAAACAAAACAAAAGUUGUUGUUUCAAAAGAAUAAAAAUAAAAACAAUAGGUGAAAUACACCUUGCAACUUCAAAAAAAAAAUUCUCUGCAUUUUUCUCAAACAUACACUUUAUUUUCCUUAUUUCCCUUCUGUAUUAGCCAUGUCCCUAGCCUACGUUACGUCCUAAUAAAAGUCCUUCUUGAUUUUAGGGAACUAUAGUUUGAAGUAGAAGCUAGUUAUAUGGGCUAAAAAGAUGUAGUGGUGCAUAAUAAUAAAAGAAAAAGAAAUAAAUAAAAUGGGUUGACUAGCAUUUUUGUUUGACUUGAGAUCGUAUUAUUUCUAAGCUGAGGGCAUAUUUCUUUCAUCUUGGUGAGAGCAUGUGAUAUCACUUCUUUAUUAUUUUCUCUCAAUUACCAAUCAUUGGAGUGACUAUUUUUAUUAGAUUUAAUUUCUUUGUGAGAGUGUCACUACUUCCAAUGAGAUUUUGGGGUUUGACAUGUCAUUCUUGAAAGUAGCUAUAACAAAGUCUACUGGACUGAUUCAUGUGGAUGGUUGAUGUGGGUGUGAUGUUUUUUUAUACUGGAGAUAAUGCUUAUACUUUUAUUUGAUUGCUAUCAUUAAUCUGAUUGAAUAAACACGAGUGUUUCUAUUAAAAAAAAAAAUCAUUUUGGAUUUGAAUUUCGUUUUUGCUUUAUUUGCUAGGGACUAGCAAUAAGCUGGUUGGGGGGUGUGUUGAGUGUUAGAAAAUGUAUAUUUAUAAAGACGAAAAUCAUCAUUUUACAUUUCAAGUUUUACUAACAACCCUUACUUUUAUGUAUUUAAGCUUCUUGCAAUUUAAUUAUGUGUGUUUGAUUUUAAUUAAGUAUUUUAUGUAUUUUAGGGGCAUCAUGAUCAUUUCACAAUAAACGAGAGAUCAGACGGCAAAACGGACAUUACUUUUGAACUCAGGACGGUCGAAAACCUUAGGAGGAGCAUAAAAGGAAAAAUGGCACUAUUAACAUGUACGGUACUAUUCACGUGUACGGUACUGUCUACGUUACUGUUCAUGACACUGUUCACAUAGACGGAUCGAUGACGUAGCAUUGACCGAUGAUGUGGCAUUGACUGAUGAGGUGUCACGAUCCUGUUAGGCUAAAAUUCUUAUGUACUGUUGAUGGUGACGUGGCAGCAUAUCAGUGGACGAAAAAAUCGCGCGUACGGUACAUGCAUCACACAGGAUUAUUUUCAACCAAACCGCGUCACUGUUCACCCUGGUCAAACCGUGUUACUGUUCAUCCACGUGGUCAAACCGCGUACUGUUGACUGAUGACGUGACGCAAUCCUGAGCGUCCAAACUGUUUUUAAUCCGAUGGCCAUGAUUUACUCCAUGUAUAUAUAAAAGGGGGGCUUCCCCCCCCCUAAUUUGAUAUCUCUGAAUCCAUUUUUUGGGAUCCAUUUUCUGUAAUUCCUUCUCCAUCUUGUAUUUUCUACGUAUUUUAAUAAAUUCUCAUUUUGCUCCUAGUUCAAUUAUGAGUGGCUAAUUUUCUUUCAAGCUUGGGUUGAAGGUGAAGUCUCAACAUGUGUCAUGGGCUUUAUUUGGUAAAUUUACUUUCUCUUCCCCUUUAAUUUUUGUGGAUGUUUUGACUUCUCGUCGACAAAUAAUACUAAUCUUGUCUAGUACCGCCUUGGUUUCACCGGCCCCCUAGUACUAGGUUAUUAUUAUUUGGCACGAUAAGCCCUUAGCACCAUAUUAAUUAGAGCGUGGUUCAUGAGGUGUGGAUUCCCCCCUCAUGAUUUAAUUGGCAUUAAUACGGAUUAUUUAGCCCAUGAUGCAUGUUGAUACGGAUCCAGAUACCCAAGUACGUCAUUUCAAUCGAUUUCGCUUCAAUUUAUUCUCGCCAUUGCAAUUCCAAUAUUAGAAUUUAUUAUCGCCAUUUCAAUUCCAAUUUUAGGAUAAUUUAAAUCACUUCCAUCACAAUUCCAGCCACCCAUUUACAAAAUUAAUUCUACAUAUAAUUAAAAUCCACCUCCUCGUGGGAUCGACACUCGUCACCAUUAGUCUAUUCUACAAUAGAUUCGUGUGCUUGCGAGUUCAAUAAAAUUUGCACAACACCUAACAAAGUGAUUUAGAUUCUAAAACCUAGGCAAGCUAAUUGAAAGGAAUUUGGUUUUGUAAAAGUAUUACACAAUAGGUGUUUGAUGAAAUGUUUUUUAGAUUGUUUAUGCUUUGUUUUUGUACCACCAAGUGUUAAGAGGCAUUUGUUGACUUGAUUUAGUGUGACAAGAGAAUUUUGAUGCCAUUGUAUGUUGGAGUGAUAGGUGCCUAUCGCACCAAAUUUUUACGACAGGCUGCCUGUCGCACCAAUAGACAAUUACUUUUUUUAAUGUUAUAUAUAAAAAUGUGUUGUAUAUUCUCUUUAUUUUGUUUCAAAGUGCGUAAUUAUAUAUAUAUAUAUAUAUAUUUUAGGCUUAAUUGUGUUAUGAUAGUUGGUAGAGAACGUUAAUGGAUGGUCAUAUGGAGCAUGUGAACGCUAAGAAUACAACUUUUUUUAUUCGGAAAAAUUAUAUGUUUGGUCAGUUUUUGGCAAGAGUAUUGAAGGUCUUGCAGAUAAAUCCUAAUUAAUAUAGUAUCACGAUGAAAACAACUCUGAGGUCUAGUAACACAAUCUAUCAUGCAUGUUCACUACCCAUCGACAUAUUUAAUGAUUAAAUGAUUAAGGUUGUAUUACAUAUGGCCUAUGAUGUGGCCAUCUAUGGAUGCAUCCUUGUAUUUAUUACCAGAUCUCCUCAAGUUUUGAGCCAAGAUCCUGAGCCAUCGGUCAAAACUGAAACGUCUUUUAGAGUAAACAUGUCUAGCCCCAAUAUUAAAGAAGAGGUACUGCUAUUGUGCAAAUUUUAUUGAACUCACAAGGGCACGAAUCUAUUAUACAAUAUAUUAAUGGUGACGAGUGUCGAUCCCACAAGGAGGUGGAUUUUAAUUGUGUGUAGAGUUAAUUUUCUAAGUGGGUGAUUGGAUUUGUGGUGCAAGUGAUUUAGAUUAUUCUAAAAUUUAAAUUAAAAUGGCGGGAAUAAAUUAAAGCGAAAUUUAUUGAAAUAAAGCACUUGGGUAUCUGGAUCUGCAUUAACAUACACUAUGAGCUAAAUAUUCCUUAUUAAAUCCAAUUAAAUCAUGAGGGGGGUUUCCACUCCUCAUGAACCACACUCUAAUCAAUAUGGUGUUAAGGGCUUAUCGUGUCAAAUAGUAAUAACCUUGUACUAGGAAGCCGGUUAUACCAAUGCGGUAUCUAAACAAGAUUAUUACUAUCUGUCGAUGAAAAGUUAAAGCAUCCACAUAAAUCAGAGAGGAAGAGAAAGUAAAUUUACCAAAUAAAGCCCAUAGAACGUGUUGAGACUCCAUCUUCAACUUAAGUUUGAAAGAAAAUUAGCUACUCAUAAUUGAACUAGGGGUAAAAUAGAAAUUUAUUAAAAUAUGUAGAAAAUACAAGAUGGAGAAAGAAUUACAGGUAAUGGAGCUCAAAAAUGAAUUCAGGGGUUUCAAAUUAGGGGGAAGCCCCCUUUUUAUAGAUAUACUGAGUAAAUCGGCCAUCGGAUUAAAAACAAUUUGGACGUUCAGGAUUACGCAACGUGUUAACAGUACGCGGUUUGACCACACGGUUUGAAUAGUAAUGCGGUAUAAACUGUGAGGCUACUUGAAUAGUAACGAGGUUUGAUUAUAAAUAAUUUCGUGUAUAUGCAUGUACCGUACACAUGAUUUUUGGUCCACUAACAUGCUGUCACGUCACCGAUCAAUAGUACAUAAGAAUUUUAGUUCAAUAGGAUCGUGAUACCUCAUCGGUCAGUGUAAUGUCAUCGAUCAAUACCACGUCAUCGUUCUGUAUAUGUGAACAGUGUUGUGAACAGUAACAAGGACAUUACCGUACACGUGAAUAGUACCAUACAUGUAAACAAUGUCAUUUUCCUUUUAUGCUCCUUCUAAGGUUUUUGACUGUCCUGAGUUCAAAAGUGAUGUCUGUUUUGCUGUCUGAUCUCUCUUUCAUUGUGAAAUGACCAUGAUGCCCCUAAAAUACAUAAAAUACUUAAUUAUAAUACAAUACACAUAAUUAAAUCAUAGGAGACUUAAAUACAUAAAAGUAGGGAUGUUAGUGAGACUUGAAGUGUAAAAUGAUAAUUUUCUCUUUUAUAAAUAUACACUUUCUAGCACUCAACAGCUGCCAAUGACAAUAUCGUUGUAGCGAUAUUACUCUCCACUCCACAACAAUAAUGACAACAUUGAUGAUAGCGACAUUACGUUAAUGGAUGUUGGAGAAGAUGUGUUACCACUAACAACAUCGUUAGAGCAAUGUUAUUCUCCAUUUCACAACAAUGAUUUCCGCGAUAAUGAUGAUCAUAUUGAUGACAUUAGCAACACAAAAGCGGAUAAUAUUUGUAUGGAACCAUCUAAUAGUAUGAGGGGCACUCAUUUCAAUAUUUCAGGUGAUGUUGGGGUGUCGGUCAUUCCAAUAGUCUUAUUAAUAAUGAGGAUGAGCGUCAAAACAAUAUUCUUAUGAAUAACAAAGACAAUCGAUUUUUUCCUCUAAUCGCCUAUUCGAGAAAGAGGAUUGACCCCCUUACAAGUCUUGCUCCAAUUUUGUCUUCAAACAUGGUUGCUUCAAACUUUGUUAGCAGUUGUGACUCAUAUGAUAUUAAUGUAGGUAAGCUAUUCGCUGAGAAGAAUGAGUUAACAUUACAACUAUGCAAGGUUGUAUUUAAGGAUAAGUUUGAUUUCAAGAUUGCACGGUCCACAAUGACACGUUUCAAGGCCCACUGUUGUUCGGAAUCAUGUAAAUGGCGUAUUUGAGCAACGAGGAGUUCAAACGAGCAUAAUGUUCCUUAGGUGGUGAGGAGAAUUGACAAUGUACACACUUGUCAUAAUGAGGUAUUGGUUGAUGGUUGACGUCAAGUGUUGAGUGUUAGAAAAUGCAUAUUUAUAAAGGAGAAAACCGUCAUUUUACAUUUCAAGUCUUACUAACAACCCUUACUUUUAUGUAUUUAACCUUCUUGUGAUGUAAUUACGUGUGUGUUAUUUUAAUUAAGUAUUUUAUGUAUUUUAGGGGCAUUAUAGUCAUUUCACAAUAAAAGAGAGAUCAGACGGCAAAACGGACAUCACUUUUGAACUCAGGACGGUCGAAAACCUUAGGAGGGGCAUAAAAGGAAAAAUGGCACUAUUCACAUGUACGGUACUAUUCACGUGUACGGUACUGUAUACGUUACUGUUCAUAAUACUGUUCACAUAGACGGACGAUGACGUGGCAUUGACCGAUGAUGUGGCAUUGACUGAUGAGGUGUCACGAUCCUGUUGGACUAAAACUCUUAUGUACUGUUGAUGGUGACGUGGCAGCAUAUCAGUGGACGAAAAAUCUCGCGUACGGUGCAUGCAUCACACAGGAUUAUUUUCAACCAAACCGCGUUACUGUUCAUCCGGGUCAAACCGUGUUACUGUUCAUCCACGUGGUCAAACCGUGGACUGUUGACUGAUGACGUGGCGCAAUCCUGAGCGUCCAAACUGUUUUUAAUCCGAUGGCCAUGAUUUACUCCAUGUAUCUAUAAAAAGGGGGCCUCCCCCCCCUAAUUGGAUAUCUCUGAAUCCAUUUUUGGGAUCCAUUUUCUGUAAUUCCUUCUCCAUCUUGUAUUUUCUUCGUAUUUUAAUAAAUUCCCAUUUUGCCCCUAGUUCAAUUAUGUGUGGCUAAUUUUCUUUCAAGCUUGGGUUGAAGGUGAAGUCUCAACAUGUGUCAUGGGCUUAAUUUGGUAAAUUUAUUUUCUCUUCCCCUCUAGUUUUUGUGGAUGUUUUGACUUCUCGUCGACAAAUAAUACUGAUCUUGUCUAGAUACCGCCUUGGUUACACCGGCUCUUUAGUAUAAGGUUAUUAUUAUUUGGCACGAUAAGCCCUUAGCACCAUAUUGAUUAGAGCGUGGUUCAUGAUGUGUGGAUUCCCCCAUCAUGAUUUAAUUGGCAUUAAUACGGAUUAUUUAGCCCAUGAUGCAUGUUGAUACGGAUCCAGAUACCCAAGUACGUCAAUUUAAUCGAUUUUCUCUACAAUUUAUUCUCGCCAUUGCAAUUCCAAUUUUAGCAUAUUUUAAAUCACUUCCACCACAAUUCCAACCACCCAUUUUGCAAAAUUAAUUCUAUACACAAUUAAAAUCCACCUCCUCGUGGGAUCGACACUCGUCACCAUUGAUCUACACUACAAUAGAUUCGUGCGCUUGCGAGUUCAUUAAAAUUUGCACAACAAGUUUUUGGCGCCGUUGCCGGGGAGGUAAGUAAUUUUAAUUCAUAGAAUUAAUUUUUGUGAAUAAUUUCUUUUAUUUGUUUUGUUGUAUUUUUUUUAUUUAAAAAAAAAAAAAAAAAGUGAAUCUACAUUUAAAGGUUAGUAUUUCUUUUCUUUUUCUCUUCUUUAAAAUUCUGUAAUUUAAUUUUCAAUUUAUUUUUUUCUUUGUAAUUUUAUUUUAUUUUAUUAAUUUAAUUUUUAGUUAAUUUAUUUCACGUAUUUAUUUUUGUGUAUUUUUAUAGAAAGGUUGUAAUAGCGCAAUAAGGUUAGUAUCGUAAUUUCUCCCUCUUCUUUAUUUUUAUUUAUUUUUGUUCCCAUCUUUAUUUUUAUUUUAUUUAUUUUGCAUGCAUGGUCGUAGGUCAUUAUUACCAAAUCUUGAACCUAUAGACCUUGAAUUAGAAAAAACACUUCGCACACACAAACAAUUUAAUAAUAGAAUGGAUUUGCAACCACAGGAGAGGCCAUUUAAGGACUAUUUUAGUCCCUUAGCUAAUUUGAGCACAUCAUGUAUUAGAUACCCAAAUGUAGCUGCUAGGAGCUUUGAACUAAAACCUAGUGUGCUAAAUUGUCUCCCCACAUUCUAUGGCCUAGAAAAUGAGGACCCAUAUAAUCAUCUGAAUGAUUUUCAUGCCAUUUGUCAAACUUUUAAAUAUGAAAAUUUUUCAGACGAUGAUGUUAAACUUAGAUUAUUCCCAUUUUCUUUAAAGGAUAGAGCUCGUUCAUGGUUAAAUACUUUGCCUGCUAAUAGCAUUGCAUCAUGGGAACAAAUGGUUACAAAAUUUCUAAAUAAAUAUUUCCCAGUGCAUAAAACCAAUUCUAUUCGCAGGGAAAUUUCAGAGUUUACACAAAGAGAGGACGAGCAAUUUUUCGAAACGUGGGAGCGAUUCAAUGGGCUACUCUUGAAGUGUCCACAUCAUGGGUACGAAAAAUGGCACCAAUGCCAAUACUUUUUGGAGGGAUUAUUGCCGAAUGUGCAAGAAUGGCUAAUGGCAACAAGUGGAGGAGAGCUAAUGUCAAAAAGUGCAACAGAGAUUUGGGAAUUCUUCCAGCGACAAGCGGAUAAUUCCCAACAACGGAGUCGAUCACUCAGGAAUACUAGAAGAAUUAAGGGAGUAAAUGAGGUUCAAAUUGGCGAGUCAACUUCGGGAAUCAAAGAAGUCAAGGAGAUGGUUGAAGGUCUUGCUCGACAAAUAGCAUCGUUGUCGACUGCUAAAUCAACAGAACCACACGACCAUGACUCAUACUCAGAUCAAGCCAAUGCCAUAGGUGUAAUGAGAAAGCCAUCAAAUUACAACCCAUACUCCAACACAUAUAACCCUGGAUGGAGAGACCACCCUAAUUUUUCAUGGUCUCAAGGACUCCAACAGAAUGGACCAGCAGCUCCAGCUCCACCAAUGCAACCAAUUCCUCAAAUUCCUCAAGCCUCUCAGCCCCCAUUUAGACCAUUCAAUCAAAACCAAAACUACUCUCAACCCAGACCAUGGGAGGAUUCAUUCCAGAAUUUCAAGAAUGCUACUCACUCUACGAUUGAGCAACAGAACCGCACCAUUGAUGGACUACGAAAUGAGUUGAGAGCAGGCUUCAACUCACAAGCCCAAUCAGUUUCAAGCCUCGAGAAGAUGGUGGGACAACUUGCUUCUUCAGUUCAGACCUUGGCAAUGACUGUUGAGAAAGGAAAAUUUCCAAGUCAACCAGUGCCUAAUCCUAAAGGAGUACAUGAAGCAAGUACCAGUUCACCACAACAGCAUGGAGAGGUCAAAGCAGUCAUGACCUUGCGAAAAGGAAAGGAAGUCGACAACAAAGUGGAGAUGCCGGUGACAAAAGAAAAUCAAAUUGUACCUGUAAAUGCUGAGGACUCACCACCGGAGGAAAAAGAAGAAACCAACCCACGAGAAUACGUUCCCAAAGCUCCAUUUCCUCAGAGGUUAGCGAAAGAAAAGAAGGGAAAAUCCACAGGUGAGAUUCUCGAAAUCUUCAAACAGGUAAGUGUUAACAUCCCUUUACUUGAUGCUAUUAAACAAGUUCCAUCUUAUGCCAAGUUUCUUAAAGACCUUUGUACUAAAAAGAGAAAUAUGCAUGUUCAAAAGAAGGCAUUUUUAACAGAAAACGUUAGUUCUAUACUCCAACAUAAAAUUCCUUUAAAAUGCAAAGACCCAGGCUCCCCCACUAUCUCAUGUAGUAUAGGGAACCACACAAUUGAGAAUGCUUUGUUGGAUUUAGGAGCUAGUGUAAAUUUGUUGCCUUAUUCAGUAUUUGUGAAACUUGGACUGGGAGAAUUACACCCAACUCCAGUGGUGUUACAACUUGCAGAUCGGUCCACAAAAAUACCUCGUGGUAUUGUGGAGGACGUGCUUAUCCAGGUAGACAAGUUUUAUUUUCCUGUUGAUUUCAUUGUAAUUGACACUCAACCAAUACAGGACUCAAGGAAGCACAUCCCCAUUAUUCUAGGCCGACCUUUCUUGGCAACUGCAGAUGCUCAUAUUCAAUGUAGGACCGGAAAUAUGCAAUUGUCCUUCGGCAACAUGACUAUGGAGCUAAACAUCUUCAACAUUGCCAAACAACCUCACAGUGCAGAUGAUGGAAUUGUUGAUGUGGAUUUAAUAGAAACAAUAGUUGAUAAUACUUUUCUUUCAAACCUUAGUGAUGAUCCUUUACAAACAUGUUUAACUCACUUUGGUUUGGAUUUUGAUAUUGACAGAUCGGUCGAUGAGGUCAACGCCCUACUUGACUCAGCACCAUCCAUGGACACUAAUAAAUGGAAGUCAAGAGUUGAACAACUAGCACCAUCAGAGAAGAAACUCAUCCCAUCAUCAGAAUCACCACCGAAACUCGAGCUCAAACCAUUACCCAACACUCUGGAAUAUGCAUUUUUGGGAGAAGAAAGUACUCUGCCGGUAAUCAUCUCAUCAUCCCUAAAUGACGAACAAAAAGGUAAGUUGUUGGAUGUUUUAAAAGAGCACAAAGGGGCAUUAGGAUGGACCAUAGCAGACAUAAAAGGUAUAAACCCAGUAGACUGCAUGCAUUACAUUCACCUUGAUGAAAAUGCUAAAUCUACUAGGGAAAUGCAACGUCGGUUAAAUCCUAAUAUGAAAGAAGUUGUUAGAACUGAAGUCCUUAAGCUAUUAGACGCAGGUAUCAUUUACCCAAUUUCUGAUAGUUCAUGGGUCAGUCCUGUACAAGUUGUCCCCAAAAAGUCAGGAGUCACAGUAGUUACCAAUGCUGAUAAUGAAUUGAUACCAACUAGAGUAACUACAGGAUGGCGUGUAUGCAUUGAUUAUAGAAAGUUGAAUUCUGUCACACGUAAAGACCAUUUUCCUUUACCAUUUAUUGAUCAAAUGCUUGAUAGAUUAACAGGCCAUGAAUUUUAUUGCUUUCUAGAUGGCUACUCAGGAUAUAAUCAGAUUCCCAUAGCACCAAAAGAUCAAGAGAAAACUACUUUCACUUGCCCUUUUGGCACAUUUGCAUAUAGGAGAAUGCCAUUUGGAUUAUGUAAUGCACCUGCUACAUUUCAACGAUGCAUGUUGAGCAUUUUUUCUGAUAUGGUUGAACGAUUCCUUGAAGUCUUUAUGGAUGAUUUUUCUGUCUUUGGUGACUCGUUUGAUCAAUGUUUACAUCAUCUAACGCUAGUUCUGCAGAGAUGUAUCGAGAAGAACUUAAUCUUAAAUUGGGAGAAGUGUCAUUUUAUGGUAAAACAAGGUAUUGUUCUCGGUCACAUCAUUUCAAGCAAAGGUAUUGAGGUUGACAAAGCCAAGGUGGAUCUCAUUUCUAAUCUUCCUCCACCUAAAACAGUCAGAGAAGUAAGAUCUUUCCUUGGACAUGCUGGUUUUUAUAGACGUUUCAUUAAAGAUUUUAGCAAAGUUUCUAGACCCUUAUGCAAUUUACUUGCUAAGGAUGUACCUUUUAUCUUUAAUGAUUCAUGUCUUAUGGCUUUUGAAAAAUUAAAGCAAUUGUUGACAUCAUCACCCAUCAUUCAGGCCCCAAACUGGAGCUUACCAUUUGAGCUCAUGUGUGAUGCAUCUGAUUAUGCAGUAGGAGCAGUAUUAGGACAAAGAGUUGAUCGAAUUCCUCAUGUUAUUUACUAUGCUAGUAUGACAUUGAAUGAUGCACAGUUGAAUUAUUCAACUACUGAAAAAGAAAUGCUAGCAGUAGUGUUUGCAUUAGAAAAAUUUCGAUCUUAUCUCAUUGGUUGUAAAAUAAUUAUAUUCACAGAUCAUGCUGCUCUUAAAUAUCUUCUCACAAAGAAAGAUGCAAAAGCUAGACUAAUUCGUUGGGUAUUACUUUUGCAGGAAUUUGACUUGGAAUUUAAAGAUAAGAAAGGCACAGAAAAUGUUGUGGCGGACCACCUCUCUCGUCUCCAUUUUGACACAAUUACAGAGCCAUUACCAUUAAAUGAGUCAUUCCCAGAUGAACAAUUGAUGCAUGUGGAAGUAUUACCUUGGUAUGCUGAUAUAGUUAAUUAUCUUGUUACAGGUAAACUUCCAGAGCAUUGGACCAAGCAAGACAAGGCUAAAUUCUUUGCGGAAAUAAAGAAUUUCUUUUGGGAUGACCCAUAUUUGUUCAAGUAUUGUGCAGACCAAAUUGUUAGACGAUGUGUCCCUGAAAAUGAAAUUCAGAAUAUUCUUUCAUUCUGCCAUGAACAAGCGUGUGGAGGCCAUUUCAGUGCUAAGAAAACAGCUACAAAAGUUUUACAAUGUGGUUUCUAUUGGCCAACUAUAUUUCGAGAUGCUUACACUUUCUGUUCUUCAUGUGAUAGGUGUCAACGAAUGGGGAGCAUUACACGAAGAAACAUGAUGCCACUAAAUCCAAUUUUAGUGGUUGAGAUUUUUGACGUAUGGGGUAUCGACUUCAUGGGACCAUUUCUCCCUUCUUUUGGCCAUCAAUACAUAUUGGUUGGUGUUGACUACGUCUCAAAAUGGGUAGAAGCAAUUCCAUGUAGAACCAAUGAUCACAAAGUGGUGAUAGGAUUUUUGAAAAGCAACAUUGUUUCACGCUUUGGAUUCCCUCGAGCGAUAAUCAGUGAUGGUGGUGCCCACUUUUGUAACAAAGCAUUCAAAGCUCUUUUGACAAAAUAUUCAAUCACUCACAAAGUGGCGACCCCGUAUCAUCCGCAAACCAGUGGCCAAGUUGAGAUCUCCAAUCGAGAAAUCAAGCACAUAUUAGAAAAAACGGUGAGGCCAGACAGAAAAGAUUGGUCAUUAAGACUUGAUGAUGCAUUAUGGGCAUAUAGAACGGCUUUCAAGACCCCGAUUGGGAUGUCACCCUACAGGCUAGUGUAUGGAAAAGCUUGCCACCUACCUGUGGAACUCGAGCAUCGUGCAUAUUGGGCCAUCAAGAAAUUCAACUUUGACAUGCAGCAAGCCAGCUCAGAAAGAAGAUUACAACUGGCAGAACUUGAAGAAAUUCGUAAUGAUGCAUACGAAAAUGCCAAGAUUUACAAGCAACGAAUGAAAGUCUUUCAUGACAAGCACAUUAUGAGAAAAUCGUUCACUCCAGGUCAGAAAGUACUUUUAUUCAAUUCUCGUUUGCACCUAUUCCCAGGUAAGUUACGCUCUCGAUGGUCUGGUCCCUUUAUUGUUAAUACUGUUUUUCCACAUGGGGCAAUUGAAAUUAAGGACCCAAAGAAUGGUGUCACGUUUAAAGUUAAUGGUCAAAGAUUAAAGCCAUAUCUUGAGUACCAACCACAUGGAGAAGACACCGAAAUAAAUUUGAGUGACCCACCAGAUUUGAAUUGAUUUUUUUUUUUUCUUUUCGUUGAUUUGAUUUUUCUUUCUUUCUUUUUAUUAUUCUUUUGCUAAUUGAAAUUAUUUUUGCAUAAGUGUGUUUGUCUAACUAUUAAGUUUUCUCUUAUCAUUUUUAAUCAUGAGUACCUUACUUAGACCGUUCCUCCUGAACAUUCUUAAACCACUUCAACGUGUCAAAACUCAUCUAAAAAAGCAGAUUCAAUUUUGUAAAACACAACGCAUUUGGGCUCUACAACCACCAGAGUUAGUAGCCUAUGUUGAGGGUUUAGAACGCCAACUCAGAGACAUUGAGAGAAGUGUUUACGACAUCCAGUUGGAGCUUGAGGUAAAUUCAAUAAGAGGACGAUUUUAAUUUUCUUUGUGUGUUUUGAUUUGUUUUUCUGUUUGUGUGCUUUAGUUUGUUACCCCGGUGAAGUGGCGGAUAACGGUACUCCGUGACAAUCAAGUCGGUUAACAUCAGUUUCCCAUAAUAACUGAUAUUCUGAGGCGAAGGUAUGCAUAGAAACGAGAUUUUAGCAAAGCUUCACAAGCGAUUCCCUUCACUUCCUCAGAAUGCCCUCUUUACAAUCUAUAAAGCCCGGUCUGAACGCAUGCGAUUGCUCAUGAGGAAUAACAUACCUGCAGACAUCCGUUGGUUAAUCGAGGCUAAAGUACGAUUGGCAGGUGAGUUACCUCCUAAAUUUAUUGCAUACAUGCCUGGUUGUGGUAAAGGAAAUUACGCAAGAAAACGACGAGCUCGAAGAAUUUCUGUUGCUUGUCAUAAGUGUGCCAGAAUGAGUUGCAAUAGAAACCCAUGUUCUUUAGGAAUGGUGUCUGAUAACAGGGAAGAUAAGAUUCAAUUCAUUAGGGAUGGCUUGAAUAAGGAGUCAUUGGAUGAUAUCCUUUUGUCUCUUGAAACGCAUCCCAGUGGAUAUGUGCAAGGAGCGAUUCUCCAGUUAUGACCAUUAUUCCAGAAAGAACAUACACGAUAUAGUCUCGGGAAUCUGACUAUAAACGACCCUGUUUGCCAGUUUAUAAGAAAACUGGAUGGGAAGCCCAUCCUCGACCCAUAGAGGGCGUUCAAGCCGUUUCUGGACGUAAAACCAGAGGAAGAUGUGAGCCACAGUCGCAACUACGUGUAAAUAUCCUUUUACUUUACUGUUAUUUUAUUUCAUUUCACUGUUGUUUUAUUGUUUGCAUUAUUGUCUUUAAUAAUUUUGUUACUGUUUGCUUUUUCCUUUUUACUGUUUCCUUUUUGACUCACGAGCCACGUGCUUUACGCGUUAUUUGACACUGACAUGUUACCUCAUUCACAGCUGUGAUCCACUGUCACCAAGAUUCUUUAAUGUGAUUUACUUUUUGUCAAGCACUCACAAAUUGUUUUUGAGAAAUAUUCCAAUGGCAGCUACUCCCAAUAGACAAUUCAAGAACAUUUGUGUGCUUUCUGGAUUUACCUAUGGCAAACAUAAAGAGUUCGUGGAGGCAGCCAUAGAUCUUGGUCGAAGCAUAGCAGCGAGAAAAUUACAUUUGGUGUAUGGAGGAGGUAACCGAGGGUUAUCAAAAAUGGUCUCAGAAGCAGCUUUUAUCAGAGGAAGUCAAGUGUUAGGCAUCAUCCCAAGAGUCCUAAAACCAUUGGGCAGUUCGUCUGACUCAUCAACUGGAGAAGAGUUAGUCGUCUCAGGUAUGCAAGAAAGAAUAACUGAAAUGCUUAAUCAUGCUGAUGCUUUUAUUUUCCUUCCAGGAGAUCUUGCAACACUAGAGGCACUUAUCACACUAGCAUCUUGGGCCCAUCUGCACAUCCACCAGAAACCCAUCGGUUUGUUAAAUGUCAAUAACUUUUAUGAUGGCUUUAUCGCAUUUCUUAACCAUGCAAUAAAAAACUAUUUCAUUCCUUCUAAUGUGAAAAAACUCUUUAUUUGUGCUCACACUGCUAAUGAGCUACUUGAUAUGUUACAAGCUUAUAAACCGGAGCCAGACCCCUGGACCUUUGUGUUGGAGCGACCAAAUAAUGAUGGUAACAGUAGCCGCAGUAAGAAGUACAAAUUAGAUUUAACUCUCCGCCUGUAAAUAUUUUCUUCUGUGUUGCACCACCCAGGUGAUGUCUUCUAAACUCUACUUAUUUCCUUUCAAACAUUGAGGACAAUGUUUCGUUCUGGUUGGGGGGAGGGAAUAGUCGACAAUUGUGGAAUCUUGGUUAAGUUUUUACUAAUUUUUUGUUGUAGAAACUAACUGUUGCUAACUUUUUGUGUUGAAGAUGGCUGAAUAUGGAGUGUAGUUACUCUAGAAACGCAUCUUCAUUGUUCGAAAAAAAAAAAAAAAAUUCUUUUUCUUUAUUAAGUUUUGAUGUUCAUUUUUCUUCUUCUUUUUAUUUUCUCCUCUAUAAAUAUACAUUUUCCAACUUUUGAGUCGAAGAUGGCUGAAUAUGGAGUGUAGUGCCUCUAGAAACGCAUCUUCUUAAGUUAAAAAAAAAAAAAAAAAAAAAAAACCAUUUUCGUUUUCUAUCAUUUUAAGUGUAACUUUUCUAAUUAGUUUUUAUGCAUCAUUUUCAUAUCUCUGCAUACAUAUUUUCCUUUCAUGUUUAGAAUAGGUUGGGGGGUAGAAUGUUGUUUAAAAAAAAAAAAAAAAAAAAAAAUUUGUGUUAUUUGUUUUAACAUUGGAUGACAUGAUUAAUUUCAAAUUUUAGUAUUUGUAUUAUCUUUGGUCUUAAGUGAUGUUACGCUAUGUUUGCUACUUUACAUGUUGAUGUCGGAGACAAAUAUGAGUUGCUUGAAGGAAUGAACAUGUCAUAAAUAAGUGCCAAGUGAGUUGUUGAGCCUAUCAUUUUCUUGGAGAGUAACCCUUUUGCCCAUUCUCUAUACAGCUUAGCAGUUUAUUAUUUUAUACACGAUCUCUAGAUUUCUUUUAAGUUAACCCUUUAAAAAAAAAUGGUAAAAUUAAAAAAAAAAGAAAAAAAAGAAAAAAAUGUGUGUUGCUACAUUGGGAGGCCCAUCUAACUAGUAGAUAUGGAUAAUUAUUUAGAGCCCUAAAAGACGAUGGAAAGGCCAUCUUUGAUCCGUUUGAGCCUUUCUAGCCAUCCCUAUUAUUUAAUAUCCAUAGUUACCCCUUUUGAGCUUUUAAAAAAAAAAAAAAAAAAAGAACAAAAACCUUUUCUUUGUCAACUUAUCAUCUUGACCCACUCCGAUUUGGAGUAUUACCCAAUGUCUUUUAAGUUCCAUCACCUAUUUAUGUUUGAGAAAAUGUAAAUAAUUAUGUUGUUCAGUGAAGUUAUGCCAAAUAAAAGCAAAAAAAAAAAAAAAACAAAAGUUGUUGUUUCAAAAGAAUAAAAAUAACAAUAAUAGGUGAAAUCCACCUUGCAAGUUCCAAAAAAAAAAAAAAAAAAAAAAAAAAAAAUUUCUGCAUUUUUCUCAAACAUACACUUUGUUUUCCUUAUUUCCUUUCUUUGUUAGCCAUAUCCCUAGCCUACGUUACGUCCUAAUAAAAGUCCUUCUUGAUUUUAGGGAACUAUAGUUUGAAGUAGAAGCUAGUUAUAUGGGCUAAAAAGAUGUAGUGAUGCAUAAUAAUAAAUAAAAAAAAAGAUAAAUAAAGUGGGUUGACUAACAUUUUAUUUGACUUGAGAUCGUAUUAUUUCUAAGCUAAGGGCAUAUUUAUUUCAUCUUGGUGAGAGCAUGUGAUAUCACUUCUUUAUUAUUUUCUCUCUCAAUUACCAUUCAUUGGAGUGACUAUUUUUAUUGGGUUUAAUUUAUUUGUGAGAGUGUCAUUACUUCCAGUGAGAUUUUGGGGUUUGACAUGUCAUUCUUGAAAGUAGCUAUAACAAAGUCUACUGGGCCGAUUCAUGUGGAUGGUUGAUGUGGGUGUAAUAUUGCUUUAGACUGGAGAUAAUGCUUAUACUUUUAUUUGAUUGCUAUCAUUAAUCUGAUUGAAUAAACACGAGUGUUUCUAAAAAAAAAAAAAAAAAAAAAAAAAAAAAAAAAUUUGAAUUUGAAUUUUGUUUUCGCUUUAUUUGCUAGGGACUAGCAAUAAGCUGGUUGGGGGGUGUGUUGAGUGUUAGAAAAUGCAUAUUUAUAAAGGAGAAAACCGUCAUUUUACAUUUCAAGUCUUACUAACAACCCUUACUUUUAUGUAUUUAACCUUCUUGUGAUGUAAUUACGUGUGUGUUAUUUUAAUUAAGUAUUUUAUGUAUUUUAGGGGCAUUAUAGUCAUUUCACAAUAAAAGAGAGAUCAGACGGCAAAACGGACAUCACUUUUAAACUCAGGACGGUCGAAAACCUUAGGAGGGGCAUAAAAGGAAAAAUGGCACUAUUCACAUGUACGGUACUAUUCACGUGUACGGUACUGUAUACGUUACUGUUCAUAAUACUGUUCACAUAGACGGACGAUGACGUGGCAUUGACCGAUGAUGUGGCAUUGACUGAUGAGGUGUCACGAUCCUGUUGGACUAAAACUCUUAUGUACUGUUGAUGGUGACGUGGCAGCAUAUCAGUGGACGAAAAAUCUCGCGUACGGUGCAUGCAUCACACAGGAUUAUUUUCAACCAAACCGCGUUACUGUUCAUCCGGGUCAAACCGUGUUACUGUUCAUCCACGUGGUCAAACCGUGGACUGUUGACUGAUGACGUGGCGCAAUCCUGAGCGUCCAAACUGUUUUUAAUCCGAUGGCCAUGAUUUACUCCAUGUAUCUAUAAAAAGGGGGCCUCCCCCCCCUAAUUGGAUAUCUCUGAAUCCAUUUUUGGGAUCCAUUUUCUGUAAUUCCUUCUCCAUCUUGUAUUUUCUUCGUAUUUUAAUAAAUUCCCAUUUUGCCCCUAGUUCAAUUAUGUGUGGCUAAUUUUCUUUCAAGCUUGGGUUGAAGGUGAAGUCUCAACAUGUGUCAUGGGCUUAAUUUGGUAAAUUUAUUUUCUCUUCCCCUCUAGUUUUUGUGGAUGUUUUGACUUCUCGUCGACAAAUAAUACUGAUCUUGUCUAGAUACCGCCUUGGUUACACCGGCUCUUUAGUAUAAGGUUAUUAUUAUUUGGCACGAUAAGCCCUUAGCACCAUAUUGAUUAGAGCGUGGUUCAUGAUGUGUGGAUUCCCCCAUCAUGAUUUAAUUGGCAUUAAUACGGAUUAUUUAGCCCAUGAUGCAUGUUGAUACGGAUCCAGAUACCCAAGUACGUCAAUUUAAUCGAUUUUCUCUACAAUUUAUUCUCGCCAUUGCAAUUCCAAUUUUAGCAUAUUUUAAAUCACUUCCACCACAAUUCCAACCACCCAUUUUGCAAAAUUAAUUCUAUACACAAUUAAAAUCCACCUCCUCGUGGGAUCGACACUCGUCACCAUUGAUCUACACUACAAUAGAUUCGUGCGCUUGCGAGUUCAUUAAAAUUUGCACAACAUCAAGUAAGGAGCCGAGUUAUUGGUCAUAUUAUCACAGAUAAAUAUAUCCAGAAAAAAAAAGAUGUACGCUCUGAAUGACAUCAAAGCAGAUAUACAGUAAGAAUACGAUGUACAGUUAACAUACCAGCAGGCAUAUCGAGCCUGAGAAGUCAGUCUUGAAAUAGUUCGAGGGAAUCCUGCAAAGUCAUACAACUUACUUCCCAAAUACUUUGACAUAUUGACUAAAGUGAAUAAGAGUACUGUCACUCACCUCGAGCAGGAUAGCAAUGAUAAUUUAUUGUACUAUUUUAUGGCAUUUGAAUCUUCCACCAAGGGUUUCAUGUAGUAUAUUUAGUUUGUGAUUGCUGUAAAUGCUACUCAUCCAAAGGGGCUAUAUCGUGGAAGCAUGUUUGUGACAACAUGUUUAGAUGGUAAUAAUCAAGUGUAUUCAUUAGUCAUUGGGGUCAUCGAUUCAGAAAACAAUGAUGUUUGGGAAUGAUUUAUGAAGAAGUUAAUAAUCAACAUGUCUAGAUGGUAAUAAUCAAGUGUAUUCAUUAGCCAUUGAGGUCAUCGAUUCAGAAAACAAUGAUGUUUGGGAAUGAUUUAUGAAGAAGUUACAUGGAGUGAUUGGCGAUAGGCCAGAGUUAGUAAUUAUCUCUUAUUGAUGCACUGCCAACAGGAGAGCCGUUCUGAAAAUAUUUCACACUACUGCUCAUGGCGUCUGUUUUUACAAUGUGAAAAGUAACAUUAAGUCAAAAUCCAAGAUGUCUAAAGCUCUUUGUAAUGAAUUUGAGCCUGUCUUUUAUUAAUGUAGUAAAAACAUAUGGAAACGAAGAAUUUAAAAAAUAACUUGAAGUGUUGCGGAUGCUCUACUUAAGUGCAACUGAUUACUUAGAGAAUAAUACGGGUACAGUAUACUUACCACCAAUCAUGUGUGUCAUCAGACUUGACUGUCUACUCAUAAUGGUCGUCUACAGGCAUCUCAUCCUUAGAUGUGUUAUGAUGCUGCUCUAGUGUUGGGCUCGAUGUGUUGUGAUGCUCUUCUGUCUGCCUUGUAACGGGCAGCGCGUUGAUUGAAGGUUGAUGCUGUAGAAAGUAACAUUUAAAAUGAGUAAAUAAUAAGCCAAAAAAUUUUGAGUUUCGAUUAAAUAAAUAAUAGUGGUUUGAUGCACUAUAGGAUACCUAUAUUAUGGACCCAACUUGGAAUACGUGGCACGUAAUCCUUCACAAUCUGCCAAUAUUUUUUGGCUUUCUCCUUUGCAUCCAGCUUAAUGCUAUGUAAAACCUUCCCCUGCCAUAAAGUCAGCCCAAAAUUUUAAGUAAGUCUAAUAAUCUUGUAUUUAGUAAUGUCAAAAGCAGUACUAUACAUCUACCAAUACAUAUUACUUAAAAGACGAGAACUGUCAUUUAACAAUGCAUAAACUUCAGCAAAGUUUGUUUUAGAAGAAGCCAUGGGCUUCCAUUACACAAAGCAAUGAAUCUUCUUUUCAUUUUCGCAACCCUUGCUAACGACAGACCUCCAAUCGCGUCGAAAAUCCAAGUUUGCAACAACUAAAGUGAGAAAGUUAUUAAAACUAUCAUUAAAUAUUUAAUAUUACAAAAAUAAUUAAUCCAAAAAAAAUAAUCAACGCACCUGAACCCCGGACAUAAAGCCAUAAACAGUGUACUUUUCAAUUUUAUGAUUUGACUUUUCCAAGCAAGAGUUCUUAAAUUUCUCUUCUUUACCGGUCAAUGCAUUUCAAGACUCUCGUAUAUUGUUUCCCACAACAAACAUCCCCAUGGACGAUUUUGGAAAUAAUCUAUAUCAUUUAUUUCGUUAAGCAAUUAGAAAUUGAUUUGACAGUGACUUUUUCUUCUAUUUAGAACUCUGUUUGUAAAAUAAAAGAGCGCGAUCCUUCGCACAUCAAUAUCGUCCAUAGCCUCGAAGUCGAACUUCUCAACUCUUGAGUCGAGUUGCUUAAGAUUGAUGUUGCGAAACAAACUAUUAAAAUGCGUAUUUAGUAGCCUAUGCACCAUUUUUGGCUUUUUAGUACGACAUCUUCACUAUAGGAAAGUCCUGUAACCAAGCACCAUUCUCCAAUUGAUAAGUGUAUCAAAUGCUCACCAAUUUGAAACCAUAAUUAAUCUUUCUCCUUGUAUUCUCCACAGGCCACUUACUUAAGCAAUACAUUGUGCAAAAUUACGCCACUGAAUGGAAAACUUUGGCACUCCAAGAAAUGCCCAAAUAUGUUGUCCCUAAAAAGUUGCAACUGCCAUUUUGUUAAGUUUUUCUGGAUGGCUUUUAUGACUAUAGCUAAUUUACACAUACUUAAAAUAUGCUCAGGGAAGUGAUCGGCGCAAGUUAACUUCACUAUGCCUAGUUCGUUUCUCGAUCCUGCUGAAUCAUGCUUUGCUAUUUUGGAUUUCACCAUGUAUCUAUUAUAUUUAUAACAUUAUUAUAUUGCAUUUAUAACAAAAUAAUAACCUCACACUAAAAAAAAAAAAGAACAAACUGUAACAGCCUGUCGCAUCUCAUAUGCGCGACUAGGAUUUUUGAGCUAACUGUUGAUUUUAUAUCUUGACCGUAAUUUUAGUGAUGUUGGCUGCCUAGGAUGGACUCCAAUGUGCUGUGGGAAACCAUCGGCAAUGAGUGACCAACUUGGGGGAGAGAAAUCGUUCAAUUUAGAGAGAGGAAGUUUGGUGAGAAUGAGAGAGGUAUUUUCGUCACUUGAUGUGUUGUUUGGCUAAUGUUGAUAGAAAUAAACUCCAAGGGUCAAUUGUAAAAAAUAUAAAAUUUUGUGGUUAAUUUUAUAAAUUUCACUUAGGGAAUGAGCUGAGAAUGGGAAUGGGCUGGAAUGGGAAUGAGGAAUGAAAAUGAGAUUUCAAUGUUUACUUAGCAAAAAUAAAUGGGAAUGGGAAUGUGCUGGAAUGUCAUUGAUGUGUUUACUUGGCAAAAUAAAUGGGAAUGAGAAUCAAUUUACUAAAUACCCAUAGUAUUAAUAAUUAAUAAAAAUAAUUAAUUUAUCAUUAUUAACAAUAUUAUCAUUAUUGUUUUUUGUUGUUGUUGUUGUUGUUGUUGUUGUUAUUAUUAUUAUUAUUAUUAUUAUUAAAAAUAAUAUUAACAAUAAUUAAUAAUAACUAAAAUAAUAAAGUUAAUAAAAUUUAAUAAUAAUAAUAAAAUUAAUAAUAAUAAUAAUAAUAAUAACAACAACAAUAUGGAUAAUAUUGUUAAUAAUGAUAAAUUAAUUAUUUUUAUUAAUUAUUAUUUUAUCAUUAUUUUUAUUAUUAAUAAUGAUAAUAUUAAUGAUAAUAAUAAUAAUUAAUAAUAACUAAAAUAAUAAAGUUAAUAAAAUUUAAUAAUAAUAAUAAUAAAGCAAAGGUCUGAUUAGCUAGUGAGUUUUCUGAUCCAUUUAUUUCUUACAUGCCUGGUUUUGGUAAAAGCACAUUUGCUAAAAAACGGAGAGUUAGAAGACUUGGCUCAAAAUGUUAUAAUUGUGUACGACUUAGUUGCAAACUAGAAGUUUGUAAAUCUUUAGGAAUGGUUUCUAAUAAUCGAGAAGAUAAAAUUAAAUUCGUCAAAGAUGGCAUGAGUAAAGAAUCGUUGGAUGAUAUCUUACGAUCUCUUGAGACGCAUCGAAGCGGACAUGUGCAAUAUGAGAUACACAGGUUAUGGAGACUAUUCCAAAAAGAAAGUGCACAGUUUAGUCUUGGAAAUCUGACUCAAAAAGACCAUGUUUGCCAGUUUAUAAGAAAAUUAGAUGGGAAACCUAUCAUCGACCCAUAGAGGGCGUUCAAGCCGUUACUGGACGUAAAGUCAGAGGAAGAUGUGAGCCACAAUUACAACUACUUGUAAAUAUCCUUUUACUUUAUUGUUCUUUUAUCAUUUGCAUUAUUGCAUUUAAUGGUGUGAUUUUGUAUUUAAUCAUUAUUUGUUCUCUUUUAGUUUUUUUCUUCUUUCUUUUCACUGUUUGCUUUUCUUUUUACUAUUUGCUUUUGAAUAAUUGAGACAUGAGCUUUACGCGUCAUCUGACAAAUACACCAACCCAUUUAAAGUUGUUUCUCAUUUUGUCUGUCACUCAGAUAUUUAAAUAAGAGCUCUUUUUCCGACCAUUCACAACUUGUUUUUGAAGAUUAUUCUAAUGGCAGCAUCUUCGAGUAGACAAUUCAAAAAUAUUUGUGUGCUCUUUAUAUUUCAUUAUGGAAAAUACAAAGAGUUUGUUUAAGCAGCUGUAGAUCUUGGUCGUGUCAUAACUGAGAGGAAACUGCACCUUGUAUAUGGAGGAGGUGACCGCGGGUUAUCAAAACUUGUCUCAGAAACUGUUUUUAUUAGAAGAAACCAAGUACUAGGUAUCAUUCCACAAGUCUUAAAACCUUUGGGAUGCAUGUUUGAUGUGCCAAUUGGAGAAGAGUUAGUUGUCUCAAGUAUGCAAGAGCGAAUAUCUGAGAUGUUAAAUCAUGCUGAUACUUUCAUUUUCUUGCUAGGAGAUCUUGCAACUUUAGAGGCAUUGAUUACAUUUGCAUCUUGAGCCCAUUUAAACAUCUAUCAGAAACCCAUCGAUUUACUAAAUGUUAAUAAUUUUUUUGAUGGGUUGCUGACAUUUAUUAACCAUGCAAUUAAGAAUCAUUUUGUUCCAAUCUUUGCGAAAAAUCUCUUUGUUUGUGCUUCAACUACUAAUGAGUUACUUGAUCUUUUACAAGCUUACAAACCAGAGCCAGAUCCUAAGACAUUGGCAUUGGAAUGGUCGACUAAUGAUGGUAACCCUAGCCCUAGUAAGAAGUACAAGUUGGACUUAACUCUUCGGUUGUAACUAUCUUCUUGGAGCUAUAAGAUUAUGUCUUCUAAACUCUACUUCUUUCCUUUAAGCCAUUGAAGACAAUGUUUUGUUCAGAUUGGGGGGAUGGAAUAGUUGAUAGCUGUGGAAUAUAGCAAAUCCUAGUAAUGUUUUUUAUUUUACUUUUUUUUUUAAAUUUUAACAAGGGCGUUAUGGUAAAUCAAAUAGAAAUAGGACAAAUAUUAAAAUAAAUUUAAAAAAAUUGAAAAAUCGAGAAAGGGUUUCAGCCCCUGCUAAAAUGGCACCGCAUCUAAAGCCUAGGGUGCCUGGAGGCAACAUAGCAAUAAAAAUAAAAAUAAUAAUAAUAAAGAAAGAAACUAAGAAAAAAAAGACAUAAUAAUAAGUAGUAAUAUUAGCAAUGCUAUUUGUAUUUUAUGUUUUGGCCCCUAUAAUUUUACAAGUUGAUUUUAUGUUACCGCCUACUCAAAUUUAUGGUUUUGGUCAUUGUGUUUGGCCCUCUCAAUUUUAGUGAUUUUAUACUGUAUGAAAUGCAAGUUAUGCAACCCAAGAGGGGGGUGAAUUGAAAUUUUUAAACUUAUGCUAAACAAUUCGCACAACAAUUUAAUCUAUUGCCUUAAUCAAAUGCAAAAACAAUAAUUUAGUAAAGCACAAUAAUAAAAGAGUAAGGGAAAAGAAAGCAAACACAACAAUUUUUACGUAGUUCGGCAAUCCCUGUCUACGUUCACGACUCCAAGCCAACCAAGCUUGAGGAUUUCACUAUCAAAACCUCCCAAGGCUUCAAGUUCUUACAAUUGAUUUCUAAUGUGUCAAUUAACCUUUACAAUCAAGAGAUUAUCUCCCCAAUCUCUUCACGCCAAGUGUUUCUCACACUUGUACACUCACAAUUUGAUGAGAAAUGAAAAAUUACAACAAAAACUCUCUUUAAGAGUGGAUUUGCAAAUAAUAGCACAAAAAUGAUUCAAUAAAUGAUGAUUUGUGAAAUGAAACUUCAAUAUGUGUUAUAUAAUCUUAUUUAUGCUUGCAUUAGUCUUAAAAAUGAAGAUGGAGUUGAGUUUUUAUAGCUAAAACCUGAAACCUAGCCGUUAUAGGCAAAUUCCAGCGCUCAAGCGGUUAGCCGCUUGAUUUAUCCGGCUAGCCGCUCCAGAAUAGUGAAUAGUGAUGCCCAAAACUUUCUGUAAUUAUAUUAUAGCCCAAAUGUCAUAAAACUUUGCAAAUAGGUCCAAUUUUAGAAUUUCUAAAUAAUGCUUGUCAUUCCCAAAAAUUUUUGUAAUUCUUAUAUGACCCAAUAUAUAAUAAUAUUUUUCAAAAAGGUCCUUUUCAAAAUUUAAAAUAAUACCCAUAAAUUUUAAAGUUCUCAAAUCUUUUUAAUUUAGUCCAAAAUUUGAAAAUAUGAGACUUUUCUCAGGUGGCUAGCCGCUAGCCCUCAGGCGGUUAGCCGUUCACUCUCUGUCCAAUUUUAGAUUUCAAAUGUUUGGAUUACGUUUGGGUCCUCAAACUUUCUUAAAUUAUAAUAUGACCCAAAAUGUUUCAAAUAUUUGCAAAUAAAUCUAAAUUCGAAAUUCAAAACAAUACUUAAUAAAAUCAAAGAUUGCAAAAAUUUUUCAUUUUAGUCCAAGUUACUCAAAUCCACAAAAUACUUUAUCUUAUAAAUAUAAAAUCUUUUAGUUUAUGAAAGGUAAUUAUUUAAAUAAACUCUUGAGCUUCUCAAAUGCUAAAUUAUGCAUCAUUUAAAUCAUACCGACUUUACAAGAAUUUAUCACAAUAAUUUAUCCGUUGAGUGUAUUGAACUUGAUUUCACUUGUAUAAAUAUUAUUCUUUAAAAACUAGUAAAAAUGUUAAAUACAAUAUUUAUUAAAUCACUUAAGACACAUAUUUGUUAUCAUCAAAAUUACAUUAUGGGUAGCCCUUUAGGCUAACAUUGUAGCCUACUCAAGUACAUAGUUUCUUCAUUAGGCCCCAAAGCCAAAAUCCUAAGAGUAUCUCCAAAAAGUUCUAUUAAUUUUACUCUUCAAAUAUUUAUUUGCUUACCUAUGUGGUAAAAAGAAGAGUGAAAAAAAUAUGUUAUUCUCCAAAAGACUCUUUAAAUAGAAAUAAGUUAAUAUUAUUUUAAUCAAAUAAAUAUUUUUUUAAAGGAAAAAUAAAUGGUAAUUAAAGCAUUUCUCUCUCUCUUUCUCCCCAAUAAAAAGUAAUAAAAUAUAAAUUGAAGAGAGAGAAAGUAACUCUACAAAAUUGAAGAGAGAGAAUUAUUUCUUAUUUGAAAAAUCUUAAUUAGAGUAUCUUUUGAAGUCUUAAAUACUAAUAUGACUCUUCAAAUAAGUAAUAAAAUCUUAUUUGAAGAGUCUUUUGGAGAUGCUCUAACUUCACCACUAGAUUUACUUGAGUAUUCAACAACACUCGACUUACUCGAGCGUAGGUGAUUUAGUUAUACUUAAUUGACUACUAAAACAAUUUAUUCGACUUACUCGAUGAUACUUUACUUAGCUCACUCCAUGUACUAAUAUUUUACUAUUUUUCUAAGUGGUACAUUUAAUUACAAAAAUCCCUGAAAAUUUGAUAAUGAUGAAAUGCUUAAUAAAUAAGGGUAUUUGGUCGAAUCAUAACAAUGUUUGUUUAACACUUGUCUAAUAAUAAGUAGUCAUUUUCUGAUGAAAUAAAAUUAAAGCUGGCAAAAUUUAACAUGACUGAUUUACUCUAUACAAACACAACAUGAAUAAAUAUCAAAAUAUGUAUCCAUCAUGAAAAUUGACAUGAUUAUUAAAUGAAUUUGGUCUAAGUCAACCCAAUCGUUUCCCUUCUCAGGCUAGAAUUCAAUUUUUCAAUGCAUUUACUUGGUCAAUGAUGUGAUUAUUAAAUAGUUACCAAAACUAAUUCAUGUUUGCAUUAAAACAUACUUAUAUUUUCAAUUCUAAAUUAUUUUAUAGAAUCUUAACAUCAAAACUCAAAAUUUGGUCAUGAUUCUAGAUGAACAUAUAUAUGAUGUUCUAUUUUGUAAAAUUCUUGAUAGAUUUAAAACUUCAAUGGUGCAUACAUGUUGUAUUUGCAUUAAAUGAGUGUGUAGUAUUUGAUGUAAAUCGUGUUAGAAUUUAAAUAGAUAUUCAGUGAGUUUUUAGGUUAUAUCAUGUUAGAUGACACAACUACCUAGUUAUUAAAAGAGCGUAUCAAGUCGCUAUUUUAUUUUUCGUAAUGAAUUCAAAUUUUAAUAUUUUAACAUAAUUAUUAAAUAAAUCAUAUUUUGACCAACAUAAAUUUAAAACAACACAAAACUGACACUGAGCGACUUGAUGGCCUAUUUUGUUAGUUUUAUUUAAAACCCUCUAAUCUAUUUAUAAAAAAAAAAGGUCCAUGGGCCUAGCCCAAAUAUAAAUUCAACAAAACCAGCUCCCGCCCAAAUCACUCUCUUGGUCGUUCCCUUCACUCUCCAAAAUCCCCCAUCCCAAACAAAACCCUCAUUUUUCCCUCUUAACAAAUUCACCUUUCUUGAGAACCAAACAUUCCCUUAGAUCUCCAAUUUCAUAAUGAGAGAAGAAGAAAUAGAGAAACUUCGAGGAGUGGUUCGCGACUGUGUGAGCAAGCAUUUGUACUCGUCGGCCAUUUUCUUCGCCAAUGAAGUCGCCGCUUUGACCAAUGACCCUGCUGACGUGUACAUGCAGGCUCAGGCUCUGUUCCUUGGCCGCCACUACCGCCGUCCAUUUCACCUCCUUAACUCCUCGAAAAUUGUGCUCCGUGACCUACGAUUUCGUUACUUGGCUGCUAAGUGUCUGGUA